rnacentral:lncRNA from 1 species
GGAUGCGAUCAUACCAGCACUAAUGCACCAGAUCCCAUCAGAACUCCGCAGUUAAGCGUGCUUGGGCGAGAGUAGUACUAGGAUAGGGGACCAACCAGAAAGUCCUCGUGGUGCAUCCCACUUUUUCUUUCGGUUUUUCUCUAUUUUGUUUUGUUAAAAAUGUAUGACUCUAUAACGUUUAGACCGUGAGGCAAAACUUGGAAUGUGAUACCUUUUCGGAAAGCCCAAAGAGAGCUCUCCGAUAAAUGAGGAAGGAAAAUGGAAUUCUUCUAUUGGUUUUUUAUUCUACUCCAAAUUUUGACCUUAAUGUACUUUUUUGGUCUUUUUGGUGAUCUUUGCUAUAUGACAGGGCGAAAAUUAUAUGAUCGGACAUUGUUUUCGAAUAUUUUGCAUGUAUCAAAGCUCUUAUAAACAAGAUAGGGUAUUCCUACAUAGCUGGUGGGAGCCACGGCAAAUGGAUCUUAAAGUCUUCAAAAAAAGAAUAGAUACGAUUGCAUUGGAUGUAGUAAACGGAUGCGAUCAUACCAGCACUAAUGCAACGGAUCCCAUCAAAACUCCGCAGUUAAGCGUGCUUGGGCGAGAGUAGUACUAGGCUGGGUGACCUCCCGGACAGUCCUCGUGUUGCAUCCCUCUUUUCUUUUUCGGUUUUUCUCUAUUUUGUUUUGUUAAAAUUGUAUGACUCUAUAACUUUUAGACCGUGACGCCAAACUUCGCAUGUGAUACCUUUUCGGAAAGCCCAAAGAGAGCUCUCCGAUGAAUGAGGAAGGAAAAUGGAAUUCUUCUAUUGGUUUUUUUGCUAUUCCAAAUUUUGACCUUAAUGUACUUUUUUGGUCCUUUUCGUGAUAUUUGCUAUAUUACAGGGCAAAAAUUAUAUGAUCGGACAUUGUUUUCGAAUAUUUUGCAUGUAUCAAAGCUCUUAUAAACAAGAUAUGGUAUUCCUACAUGGCUGGUGUGACCCACGACAAAUGGAUCAUAAAGUCUUAAAAAAAAAGAUAGAUACGAUUGCAUUGCAUGUAGUAAACGGAUGCGAUCAUACCAGCACUAAUGCACCGGAUCCCAUCAAAACUACGCAGUUAAGCGUGCUUGGGCGAGAGUAGUACUAGGCUGGGUGACCUCCCGGAUAGUCCUCGUGUUGCAUCCCUCUUUUCUUUUUCGGUUUUUCUCUAUUUUGUUUUGUUAAAAUUGUAUGACUCUAUAACUUUUAGACCGUGAGGCCAAACUUUGCAUGUGAUACCUUUUCGGAAAGCCCAAAGAGAGCUCUCCGAUGAAUGAGGAAGGAAAAUGGAAUUCUUCUAUUGUUUGUUUUUUCUAUUCCAAAUUUUGACCUUAAUGUACUUUUUCGGGCUUUUUCGUGAUCUUUGCCAUAUUACGGGGCGAAAUUAUAUGUUCGGACAUUGGUUUUGAAUAUUUUGUAUGUAUCAAAGCUCUUAUAAACAAGAUAUGGUAUUCCUACAUGGCUGGCGUGACCCACAGCAAAUGGAUCAUAAAGUCUUCAAAAAAAGAAUAUAUACGAUUGCAUUGCAUGUAGUAACGGAUGCGAUCACACCAGCACUAAUGCACCAGAUCCAAUUAAAACUCCGCAGUUGAGCAUACUUGGGCGAGAGUAGUACUAGGAUGGGUGACCUCCCGGAAAGUCCUCGUGUUGCAUCCCUCUUUUCUUUUUUUUGUUAAAAAUGUACGACUUUAUAACUUUUAGACCAUGAGGCCAAACUUGGAAUGUGAUACCUUUUCGGAAAGCCCAAAGAGAGCUCUCCUAUGAAUGAGGAAAGAAAAUGGAAUUCUUCUAUUGGUUUUUUAUUCUACUCCAAAUUUUGACCUUAAUGUACUUUUUUGGUCUUUUUCGUGAUCUUUGCUAUAUGACAGGGCGAAAAUUAUAUGAUCGGACAUUGUUUUCGAAUAUGUUGCAUGUAUCAAAGCUCUUAUAAACAAGAUAGGGUAUUCCUACAUAGCUGGUGGGAGCCACGGCAAAUGGAUCUUAAAGUCUUCCAAAAAAGAAUAGAUACGAUUGCAUUGCAUGUAGUUAACGGAUGCGAUCAUACCAGCACUAAUGCAACGGAUCCCAUCAAAACUCCGCAGUUAAGCGUACUUGGGCAAGAGUAGUACUAGGAUGGGGGACCUACCAGAAAGUCCCCGUGGUGCAUCCGACUUUUUCUUUCGGUUUUUCUCUAUUUUGUUUUGCUAAAAAUGUAUGAUUCUAUAACGUUUAGACCGUCAGGCCAAACUUGGCAUGUGAUACCUUUUCGGAAGCCCAAAGAGAGCUCUCCGAUGAAUGAGGAAGCAAAAUGGAAUUCUUCUAUUGUUUUUUUUUUCUAUUCCAAAUUUUGAGCUUAAUGUACUUUUUCGGGCCUUUUCGUGAUCUUUGCUAUAUUACGGGGCGAAAAUUAUAUGUUUGGACAUUGUUUUCGAAUAUUUUGCAUGUAUCAAAGCUCAGAUAAACAAGAUAGGGUAUUCCUACAUACCUGGUGGGACCCACGGCAAAUGGAUAGUAAAAUCUUCAAAAAAGAAUAGAUACUAUUGCAUUGCAUGUAGUAAUGGAUGCGAUCAUAUCAGCACUAACGCACCGGAUCCCAUCAAAACUCCACAGUUAAGCGUGUUUGGGCGAGAGUAGUACUAGGAUGGGGGACCUACCAAAAAGUCCUCGUGGUGCAUCCCACUUUUUCUUUCGGUUUUUCUCUAUUUUGUUUUGUUAAAAAUGUAUGACUCUAUAACGUUUAGACCGUCAGGCCAAACUUGGCAUGUGAUACCUUUUCGGAAAGCCCAAAGAGAGCUCUCCGAUGAAUGAGGAAGCAAAAUGAAAUUCUUCUAUUGUUUUUUUUUCUAUUCCAAAUUUUGACCUUAAUGUAGUUUUUCGGGCCUUUUCGUGAUCUUUGCUAUGUUCGGACAUUGUUUUCGAAUAUUUUUCAUGUAUCAAAGCUCUUAUAAACAAGAUAUCGUAUUCCUACAUGGCUGGUGUGACCCACGACAAAUGGAUCAUAAAGUUUUCAAAAAAGAAUAGAUACGAUUGCAUUGCAUGUAGUAAACGGAUGCGAUCAUACCAGCACUAAUGCACCGGAUCCCAUCAAAACUCUACACUUAAGCGUGCUUGGGAGAGAGUAGUACUAGGAUGGGUGACCUCCAAGAAAGUCCUCGUGUUGCAUCCCUCUUUUCUUUUUUCGGUUUUUCUCUAUGUUUUUUUGUUAAAAUUGUAUGACUCUUUAACUUUUAGACCGUGAGGCCAAACUUCGCAUGUGAUACCUUUUCAGAAAGCCCAAAGAGAGCUCUCCGGUGAAUGAGGAAGGAAAAUUGAAUUUUUCUAUUGGUUUUUUUUUCUACUCCAAAUUUUGACGUUAAUGUACUUUUUGGGGCCUUUUCGUGAUCUUUGCUAUAUUACGGAGCGAAAAUUAUAUGUUUGGACAUUGUUUUCGAAUAUUUUGCAUGUAUCAAAGCUCUGAUAAACAAGAUAGGGUAUUCCUACAUAGCUGGUGGGACCCACGGCAAAUGGAUCGUAAAGUCUUCGAAAAAGAAUAGAUACGAUUGCAUUGCAUGUAGUAACGGAUGCGAUCAUACCAGCACUAACGCACCGGAUCCCAUCAAAACUGUGCAGUUAAGCGUGUUUGGGCGAGACUAGUACUAGGAUGGGUGACCUCACGGAAAGUCCUCGUGUUGGAUCCCUCUUUUCUUUUUUCGAUUUUUGUCCUCUUUUUUUUGUUAAGAAUGUAUGACUCUAUUACUUUUAGACAGUGAGGCCAAACUUCGCAUGUGAUACCUUUUCGGAAAGCCCAAAAAGAGCUCUCUGAUGAAUGAGGAAGGAAAAUUGAAUUCUUCUAUUCUUUUUUUUUCUACUCCAAAUUUUGACGUUAAGGUACUUUUUAAGGCCUUUUCGUGAUCUUUGCUAUAUUACGGAGCGAAAAUUAUAUGUUUGGACAUUGUUUUCGAAUAUUUUGCAUGUAUCAAAGCUCUCAUAAACAAGAUAGGGUAUUCCUACAUAGCUGGUGGGACCCACGACAAAUGGAUAGUAAAGUCUUCAUAAAAGAAUAGAUACUAUUGCAUUGCAUGUAGUAACGGAUGCGAUCAUAUCAGCACUAACGCACCGGAUCUCAUCAAAACUCCGCAGUUAAGCGUGUUUGGGCGAGAGUAGUACUAGGAUGGGUGACCUCCCGGAAAGUCCUCCUGUUGCAUCCCUCUUUUCUUUUUUCGGUGUUUCUCUAUUUUUUUUUGUUAGAAAUGUAUGACUCUAUAAGGUUUAGACAGUGACGCCAAACUUCGCAUGUGAUACCUUUUCAGAAAGCCCAAAGAGAGCUCUCCGAUGAAUGAGGAAGGAAAAUUGAAUUUUUCUAUUGGUUUUUUUUCUACUCCAAAUUUUGACGUUAAUGUACUUUUUUGGGCCUUUUCGUGAUCUUUACUAUAUUACGGAGCGAAAAUUAUAUGUUCGGACAUUGUUUUCGAAUAUUUUGCAUGUAUCAAAGGUCUUAUAAACAAGAUAGGAUAUUCCUACAUAGUUGGUGGGACCCAUGGCAAAUGGAUCGUAAAGUCUUCAAAAAAGAAUAGAUACGAUUGCAUUGCAUGUAGUAACGGAUGCGAUCAUACCAGCACUAAUGCACCUGAUCCCAUCAAAACUCCGUAGUUAAGCGUGCUUGGGGCGACAGUAGUACUAGGAUGGGUGACCUCCCGGAAAGUCCUCGUGUUGCAUCCCUCUUUUCUUUUUUCGGUUUUUCUUUUUCUUUUUUUGUUAAAAAUGUAUGACUCUAUAACUUUUAGACAGUGAGGCAAAACUUCGCAUGUGAUACCAUUUUGGAAAGCCCAAAGAGAGCUCUCCGAUGAAUGAGGAAGGAAAACUGAAUUCUUCUAUUGUUUUUUUUUCCAACUCCAAAUUUUGACGUUAAUGUACUUUUUUGGGCCUUUUCGUGAUCUUUGCUAUAUUGCGGAGCAAAAGUUAUAUAUUCGGACAUUGUUUUCGAAUAAUUUGCAUGUAUCAAAGCUCUUAUAAACAAGAUAGGGUAUUCCUACAUAGCUGGUGGGACCCACGGCAAAUGGAUCGUAAAGUCUUCAAAAAAGAAUAGAUACGAUUGCAUUGCAUGUAGUAACAGAUGCGAUCAUACCAGCACUAACGCACCAGAUCCCAUCAAAACUGUGCAGUUAAGCGUGCUUGGACGAGAGUAGUACUAGGAUGGGUGACCUCCCGGAAAGUCCUCGUGUUGGAUCCCUCUUUUCUUUUUUCGGUUUUUGUCCUCUUUUUUUUGUUAAGAAUGUAUGACUCUAUUACUUUUAGACAGUGAGGCCAAACUUCGGAUGUGAUACCUUUUCGGAAAGCCCAAAAAGAGCUCUCUGAUGAAUAAGGAAGGAAAAUGGAAUUCUUCUAUUGGUUUUUUUUUCUACUCCAAAUUUUGACGUUAAUGUACUUUUUUGGGCCUUUUCGUGAUCUUUGCUAUAUACGGAGCGAAAAUUAUAUGUUCGGACAGUGUUUUCGAAUAUUUUGCAUGUAUCAAAGCUCUUAUAAACAAGAUAGGGUAUUCCUACAUAGCUGGUGGGACCCAUGGCAAAUGGAUCGUAAAGUCUUCAAAAAAGAAUAGAUACGAUUGCAUUGCAUGUAGUAGCGGAUGCGAUCAUACCAGCACUAACGCACCGGAUCCCAUCAAAACUGUGCAGUUAAGCGUGUUUGGGCGAGAGUAGUACUAGGAUGGGUGACCUCCCGGAAAGUCCUCGUGUUGGAUCCCUCUUUUCUUUUUUCGGUUUUUGUCCUCUUUUUUUUGUUAAGAAUGUAUGACUCUAUUACUUUUAGACAGUGAGGCCAAACUUCGGAUGUGAUACCUUUUCGGAAAGCCCAAAAAGAGCUCUCUGAUGAAUAAGGAAGGAAAAUGGAAUUCUUCUAUUGGUUUUUUUUUCUACUCCAAAUUUUGACGUUAAUGUACUUUUUUGGGCCUUUUCGUGAUCUUUGCUAUAUACGGAGCGAAAAUUAUAUGUUCGGACAGUGUUUUCGAAUAUUUUGCAUGUAUCAAAGCUCUUAUAAACAAGAUAGGGUAUUCCUACAUAGCUGGUGGGACCCAYGGCAAAUGGAUCGUAAAGUCUUCAAAAAAGAAUAGAUACGAUUGCAUUGCAUGUAGUARCRGAUGCGAUCAUACCAGCACUAACGCACCRGAUCCCAUCAAAACUGUGCAGUUAAGCGUGUUUGGGCGAGAGUAGUACUAGGAUGGGUGACCUCCCGGAAAGUCCUCGUGUUGGAUCCCUCUUUUCUUUUUUCGGUUUUUGUCCUCUUUUUUUUGUUAAGAAUGUAUGACUCUAUUACUUUUAGACAGUGAGGCCAAACUUCGGAUGUGAUACCUUUUCGGAAAGCCCAAAAAGAGCUCUCUGAUGAAUAAGGAAGGAAAAUGGAAUUCUUCUAUUGGUUUUUUUUUCUACUCCAAAUUUUGACGUUAAUGUACUUUUUUGGGCCUUUUCGUGAUCUUUGCUAUAUACGGAGCGAAAAUUAUAUGUUCGGACAGUGUUUUCGAAUAUUUUGCAUGUAUCAAAGCUCUUAUAAACAAGAUAGGGUAUUCCUACAUAGCUGGUGGGACCCAUGGCAAAUGGAUCGUAAAGUCUUCAAAAAAGAAUAGAUACGAUUGCAUUGCAUGUAGUAGCGGAUGCGAUCAUACCAGCACUAAUGCACCGGAUCCCAUUAAAACUCCGCAGUUAAGCGUGCUUGGGCGAUAAUAGUACUAGGAUGGGUGACCUCCCGGAAAGUCCUCGUGUUGAAUCCCUCUUUUCUUUUUCGGUUUUUCUCUUCUUUUUUUUGUUAAAAAUGUAUGACUCCAUAACUUUUAGAUAGUGAGGCAAAACUUCGCAUGUGAUACCAUUUCGGAAAUCCUAAAGAGAGCUCUCCGAUGAAUGAGGAAGGAAAAUGUAAUUCUUCUAUUGGGUUUUUAUUCUACUCCUAAUUUUGACCUUAAUGUACUUUUUCGGGCCUUUUCGUGAUAUUUGCUAUAUUACAGGGCGAAAAUUAUAUGAUCGGACAUUGUUUUCGAAUAUUUUGCAUGUAUCAAAGCUCUUAUAAACAAGAUAUGGUAUUCCUACAUGGCUGGUAUGACCCACAGCAAAUGGAUCUUAAUUCUAGACUUUUUGUAAUCCCGAUUUCUCUUUAUCUAUUCAGUAUUCAGUAUUCAGCUUUUGUUCUUGAUUUCGUUUACUGUUGUUCAUUCUGUUAUCAUCAUGUUGUUACACUGUUGUUAUCAUGUCUUCCACCUGUUCAACGUUUAUGCUUUCUGUUAUGAUGUCUGAGUAGUGAAUAGGUUUUUGAGGAUGGCUUAGAGUAGUGUAGGAUUCUCAGUAUGCUAGGUGAUUGAGUAUUGAUUGAUAGAUCCCUUCUGGAUUAGUUGUUCUUAAUGCCUAUUGCUUUCUGAUCAACUGGAAUUUGAGCCCAGACAUUUCCGUGCCCAAAAGGUGUUCGAUGAAAUGUUUGAACCACUAAUUCCAGAGAUUCGUGACCCUGUACCAAGGUAUUGGUUGCAAGGAGCGUUUUGGCUUUAACUUGUUGAUUCGUAAUGCCUGUUAGGUUAGCUCUCGUCAAUGGUGAUUGAGUCUGGGACUAGGUUAACUUGAGGGUCUCAGUUGCGGUGGCACUUAGAUUUGGUUAAUGAACUUGUUAUCUAAGGUUAAUUUACUGAGCAUGUCAAUCACCUGUAAACUGAGAAAACGAAACUACUCAAUUACCCCAUCCUCAGGAAUUCUUUAUCUGAUUGAAUUCUUUGUUUACUCUACUGUUGUUUACUGCAUCUUGUUAUCUGUUGCUUAAUUUCUUCAGUUCUUUCUUGUUACUCGACCUCAUACUCGACCACCUAGUUGUUUGGCAACAGACUGUACAGUCGAGUAUCUGUGUUUCAUUUUCUGUCUGUUACUCGACCUGUCACUUGACCUCACCCAGUGUUCUGCAAAGAGCUGUGUUGGUCGAGUGUUUUACUGUUUCUGUUUGAUUUUCUGUUUUCUGCAUGUUCACUUAGAACUGCUAGAACACACCAAAACCUGUUAUUGCUUGGCUUGACUUAGUGACUUCUGAUCACAUCUUGAUUGUUAGCAUCACACCCAUUUGGAUUGACAACCUAAAAUACUACAACGAUAUGAUUGGUGUUUUAGGAUAAUUGACUAAAAAACCUAUUAUCAAUUUGGCGCCGUUGCCAAUUGGGUGUUUGUUUGUUACAUUUGAGAUUUCAGACUUGCUUAGAUCAAGUUCUUUUUCAAUUUUCUUUUCGGUUACUAACUGUGUGUUUUUCUUGUUGUCUUCUUGAUCCAGGUACACCUCUGCUGUAUGCGAAUUCGAUCAACAGGCAAUCAGAACCUCCUUUUCGACGACAACAUCAACCGCAUAGCUCGCGAACUCAGAAAAAGGAGAACCACAGUCACCCCUGUAUCUCAGCAACCACUCGAAAUGGCUGAAGAACAGAAUCAACAAAAUGGCCCUGCCAACAUUGGUGCUGGAGAUGCACCACGUGAUCACCGCCAGAGGAAAGGAAUUGCACCUCCUGCGAUCCAGAACAACAACUUCGAGAUUAAGAGUGGUCUCAUCUCGAUGAUUCAGGGGAACAAAUUCCAUGGUCUGCCAAUGGAGGAUCCACUCGACCACCUUGAUGAAUUCGAUAGGCUCUGCAACCUAACAAAGAUCAAUGGUGUCAGUGAAGACGGAUUCAAGCUCCGUUUGUUCCCAUUCUCCUUGGGCGACAAAGCACACAUCUGGGAGAAGAAUCUGCCCCAUGACUCAAUCACCACCUAGGAUGAUUGCAAGAAGGCUUUUCUAUCAAAGUUCUUCUCCAAUGCCAGAACUGCAAGACUCAGAAAUGAGAUUUCUGGUUUCUCACAGAAGACUGGUGAAAGCUUCUGUGAAGCAUGGGAGCGUUUCAAGGGGUACACCAACCAAUGCCCUCAUCAUGGCUUUACUAAAGCCUCUCUGCUCAGCACUCUUUACAGAGGAGUCCUACCACGCAUCAGAAUGCUUCUGGAUACAGCUAGCAAUGGGAAUUUCCAGAACAAGGAUGUUGAAGAAGGCUGGGAAUUGGUUGAGAACCUCGCUCAAUCAGAUGGCAAUUACAACGUGGACUGUGAUACGUCAGAGGAACAGCUGAUUCUGAUGACAAACACAGGAAGGAGAUCAAAGCGCUGAAUGACAAGCUGGACAUGAUUCUUCUUAGCCAGCAGAAGCAUGUGCACUUCCUUGUUGAUGACGAGCAAUUUCAAGUCCAAGAUGGGGAGGGUAACCAGUUGGAAGAAGUCAGCUACAUAAAACAACCAGGGUGGCUACAAAAGAUACAACAACUAUCGCUUGAAACUCUUUCCAAGAAAACUUAAAUCCAGAUGUUCUGGCCCAUUCUGUAUCACUGAGGUCCGUCCUUAUGGAGCAGUCACUCUAGCUGGUAAGAGUAGAGAUUUUACAGUAAAUGUUCAAAGGCUCAAGAAAUACUUAGCAGACCAAAUCCUUCCAGAGGUGACAUCGGUUCAUCUCCAAGAACCUCUUGAUGAUUAAAGGAGUAAAGGAGUCAAGCUAAUGACUUUAAACAAGCUCACUUGGGAGGAAGUCCCAUGAUUAUCUCUGUAAAUAAAAAAUUUCUUGUCUUGUUAUUUUUGAUUUGUUUUAAUUGUGUUUGUGGUUUUCAGAGAAAAGGGAACAACGUGGAGAUAGAGUAAAAAUUCAAAACUUUUACUCUACAGAAGACCUGGAGAUUGAGUGUAUAACCUGGUGGAGUACAAAAUUUAUAAAGUUUUCUGCUGCGUCUGGAGACACGGAAUUCGAGUACAUCAGUCGAGUAUACGUGAUGUUUAAAAUCCAAAAUUUUAAAAAAACAUCAUUGUACUCGACCAACAGGAGCUACAGAGACUUGCAAGGAUUUCUUGCAGUUUACAGUAGAUCUUCUGCAUAUUUUUUCAGUCAACAGAGUGUGGACCACGCGCUGAGGAUAAGCUGGAGAGAGAAUCUAAAACUCAACCUAGACCACUCAUUUAAAAACAUCACUCGACUUCACAAAAUCCACUCGACCUACCUCUUUUCAUUUCACCACCGACACUCUAAUCUCUCUACACCACGAAUCGCCGUCCAAAGAGAUACUCGAUCCUGACAAUAUCACUCGGCCUCCGAGAGUUACUCGACAUCCGCGCCGCCGUCACCAGAUCAUAUCUUCCGUCACUCGACCUCCGGGAACCACUCGACCUCUGCGCUUCCGUAAUCGAGUACUCCUCCUCGUUCACCGUCGAAGUCUCCGUGACCACUUGAUUACGACCAAGCUACUAGACCACAAACUAUCACUCGACCUCGAGUAUUCACUCGACCUCUGCAGCAGCAACUCGACCUCUUGUUCUUGAAAGCAACAGAGCCCUGAAGAACUGUCAGAGUGUUUACUCGACCUCUAGGCUUCACCGGCUGAACUCAACCUCCACAACUUACUCGAUCUCCUGAAGCAUACCCACUCGAAUCCGGAGACGAUACUCGAUCCAAAUCGUCUAAAGGGAACUCAAGAACAGCUCAGUCUACUCGAGUACAGAAUUGUACUCGACCAAUAGGGUUUAUUUCAUUGCCUAUUGAUAACAAUUUUGGUUUCAUUGCUAUCUUUGAGACUAACCUAUUGACUUUGAGCUUUGAGUUCUAAAUUUUUACAGGAGAAUCAUGAGCAAUUACAGUGGCAGUUCUUCUGUUGAUCCUGACUACAACAUGGAUGAGACAGAGUCAACAUCUUCAAGGCCAGAGAGAGAACAAAGAGAAUAUGAAAGCUUCAGAAGGAAAGCUGAGAUAGCCCGAGGGAAGAGAGCGAUCACUGAGAGGUAUGAGCUUAUAGACGAAGAUCAGGAAGACGAGUACAUGCCUGAACAGACUCGUAGAGCUACCAAACUUCUGCACAAGCCCGACGUAUUGCCUGCUGAGGAAUAUGUUAGGCUUUUCAAGCUGAACGAGUUCUGUAGCACGAGGUAUCCUUACUCGACCUCACUUGCACAACUCGGAUUGUUGGAAGAUGUUCAACACCUGUACCAGAGUUGUCAUCUGGACACUCUGAUGGCUUAUCCGUAUGUAGCGUAUGAAGAUGAGACAAUACAAUUUCUUUCCACGCUGCAAGUAGAGCUCUACCAAGGUAUGACCUCUGAUGAGUUGGAUUGUGAAGGAUUGGGAUUCUUGCAAUUUUCUGUGUAUGGCCAUGAGUAUAGGUUAUCAAUCAAGCGCUUGGAAGGAUUGUUUGGCUUCCCCAGUGGAACGGGAUCUAAGCCCAAGUAUGACAGAGAAGAGUUGAAAGACUUGUGGAUCACCAUUUGCAGCUCUGUACCGCUGAAUGCUUCUAGGUCAAAGAGCAAUCAGAUACGCAGCCCUGUCAUCAGGUACUUCCAGCGUUCUAUAGCCAAUGUACUCUACUCCCGAGAGAUCACAGGGACUGUUACUAACUCUGAUAUGGAGAUGAUCGCAAUGGCCCUCAAGGGAACUCUUCGCCAAACGAAGAAUGGUAUGUCUCUCCAAGGUGAAAUCAAUGACACACCUCUCUCUGUACUUCUUCUGAUCCAUCUGUGUGGAUACAAGAGUUGGGCUGUCAGCAAUAACCGCAAGAGAGCACGAGGCGCUCUGUGCAUAGGUGGUGUUGUGACACCGAUUCUGAUAGCUUGUGGAGUCCCAAUCAUAUCUGCCGGACUCGAGCCGCGAGCAAUGGAUAUCGAGCACCUACGUCACUGCGAAUUCCUAGAGUUUGCAAUGGUUGACGACUUCCACAGGUUCAGGUUUGAGCACUCUACAGACAGGAGAGCUAACAUCCUUCUCCCUAGCCCUGAGGUUACACGGAUAAUAGAGGGAGAUAAUAUUGAUUUUUGGCCUGAGGUUGGACGCCUCUACUAUGAGAACGCUCCGCCAUUCAAUGAGGAGGAUCUUCUAGAAGAAGCUGUUUCGGAUGGGAUGGAUGACGAUUGCGCAGUGGAGUUCGACACUAGCAUGUAUCACUUUGGUGAAGAUGUACCUCCAGCGAGGCAGAGCAAGAGCUUGACCGAAGCUCAUAAGAACAAAAGUAAAUUGCAGAAGUGGUGCAAGAAGCAGGACAAGUUGCUCGCCAAGUGUUUCAAGGCUAUCAAGCUUCUGACAGAUAAGCUGAGUUGUUCCUCCUCCACCACAGCUAUUCCACAGGUAUUGCCUCCUCUGGAGAUGCCAUCGAGGAGAUUUGAUAAGCCUGCGCACAAGCCUGAGCUUAGCGAGCAGAGAGUCUCUCAUGCCCCGGUUAGGCAUUUGUCAUUCGAGUCCCGGGAGCACAAGAGAAGAAGGAAGGCUACACUCACUUGAUCUAGGAGCAGAUCACACCUCAUUCACUCGAGGAGAUCACUUGACCGCGGUGCCGGCCGUAGCAGAAGGAGAGAGGUCGAGUAUCCUCAGAGCGGUGCUGGCCGCCACAGAGCUAAUGAGGUCGAGUACCCACCUGCUGGAGCUGAUACAGAACAAGGUGGUUCGUCUAUGGCCUGGGAGCAAUCACAGGCAGCCAUUGACGAGCAACUACGUUCAUUCUUCGAUUGAGGUACGCGCCUCACUUCACCAUUGUAUUAUAUCAUCUGUUGUGAUUUGUUUCUUCAUUUCGUUUCUGUGAUUGGAUUUGUCCUGAGUACUCUCUUCCAAGUUUAUUCGCAUAGUGGACUGUGUGAUUUAAGUUUGGGGGAGGGCUCAGGAAGUGUGUGUUAUAUUUUUGAGUCUGCAUUCAUCUAAGGGAUAGAAAAACCAAAAAAAAUUGAAAAAUUUUAGAAAAUGAUUUGACAAAAAAAGAGUGUUCAUGUAGUUGCAUUACAUUUAGGAUCGAGUCUAGAGUGUUUCAUUUAGGAUUGUUGCAUAUGCAUAGGGGAUGAUGAUGAGAUAGCCUUGUAAGCAUUUUGAUUCACAGGAUAAACUCAGUGCCCUCGUUGCUAGUUGUCUGUUGCGUAGUCAAUGAAUUUGAAAUAAAACUGAACCAUGCCUAGAUUGCUCUAUUCGACCACACUAUCAUGAUCUGAUACCAUUCCCUAUCAAUUUGAACCUGAAUCUGAUCUUUAAUUAUCAUGUCUGCAUCAAAUUUGAACUCAUGGAUACCCUAAAAUACUUGGAUUUUCUUAUUCAUUUUGAUCACUCUUGUUAAUCCAAGUAGCUGACUCUCCUUAUUAGAGCAGUUAACCCAAACCCAAACCUAGACUUUCUUUCAAGCCCUAUAUCACUUGUGAGUGUUUGUGAGGUCUUAUUCCGAUUAAGCUUGGUAGAAAGUGUUAGGUUCGUAACGACAGAGAUAGUGUCUCAUGUAGUUCUAGUUCGCAUUUUUUGGACUAGAUAGGACUAGGUGGGCGCUUAUACUUUGGGUUGGGAUGUGUUUAAAAGAAAAAAAAAAGGUUGAUUUAUUGAUAAGAAAAGGUAAAAGACUCUAGGUGAAGUAAGCUAAAGAAGCAGAAAAAGUCUACUAAAGGUUUUGGGAUUUGUAAAGAAAAGAAAGAGUUCUUGUUAGCUAUUGAAGAUGGGCAAAAGCCCUUGGUUUUAAAAUGUUAAAAACAGGAACCUUAGUUGUUAAAGAAAUCCAAAUCCGCUAGAUGUAUCAAAGUGUUGAGAAAGCUUCUCCUAGAGUUAAGAGAAAAGAAAAGAAUGAUUAGAAAAAGGGCUUAAAAGAUUCAUGAAUGCAAAGGGUAGAGUUUAGUUCUUGUAUUGGGAUUGGAGAUGGGAUUACCAUUAGAGCUUCAUUUGAUGUACUCUGGGUAGAUGGGAUCUUAUCUCUGUAUGCAUAGCUUGGGACUUACCUUUAGCAUUCUACUAAAGCUUAAUCAUUUUUUGAGAGAUCCCCUGUUAUUGAAGCCUAUUCUGUAAGGGACCAUCUUUGUCUCUUGACCUUUUACCUUAGCCAAAUGAGUUCUUUGAUGAUGCAUUGCUUGAUUCACGUUCCAGAACUAAUGAAUGUUAAAGGGAUUGGUAGAUUUGAAAACUUGUGUAGGUCGAGCAUAUGAGUCGGAUUGAUUGAUUGAUGAGGCAUAACUAACUUUUUUAAGUAGAAUUCGAUCUUGCAGCUUAGAACUUUCAACUUGGACAUUGAUUUCAUCUGGUCUAUCUGGUGCUUUGGCUCUGAGUCCCCGCUUUCAAACCUCACCUCCAGCUUGUUCUUGAUUGUUUGCUUGAGGCAAGCAAAGACUAAGUUUGGGGGAGUUGAUAAGUUUGUAUUUUGCAUGUUUUGAGCAUCCAUUUGUCAUCAUUUUAGCAUCAUAUCAUCACUGUUUUAUACCAUUUCACAUCAUUUGUCAUCACUUUGCAUGUUUAGGAUAGUUUUGCAUGCAUGUUGCAUAUUUGUGUUGUUUUCAGGUGAUUUGGAGCUGUCGACGAUCUAACUGGAAGAAGCGGACCUGAUCAUGACAAACCACUCGACCAAGAGGUCGAGUAGGAGCUUCAAGAUCUCAAGAGACCACUCGACCCCCAGGUCGAGUAGAAGACACCACCACUCUAUCACAUCACUCGACCCCCAGGUCGAGUGUCUUCAUCUCCAUCUCUUGACCACCACUCGAUCACAUCACUCGACCCCCAGAUGUAGUGACUUCAUCCCAUUGCUAGACCUCUACUCGACCUCAUCACUCUACAUGGAAGUCGAGUAUCACCAUCACACCACUCGAUUGCAUACUCGAUGACAAGCUUCAGAGCCUUCUUCAUUCCGCACUCAACCAGACACUCGAGCACAAGAAAGAAAAGAAGACUCCAGCUAUUCACUCGACCUCCCACUCGACCACAUGGGUCGAGUACAGUUCUUAAUCCGUCCCAAUACUUUGUCGUUUUGAGUAUUAGGGUUUCGGAAUAUUUGGCUAUAAGUAGCAUGUACUUCUCAUUUUCGCAGACAAGAAAUUUUUAUCUAGUUUUAUUCUGCAGACCUUGUGUUCUAGACUUUUUGUAAUCCGGAUUUCUCUUUAUCUAUUCAGUGUUCAGUAUUCAGCUUUUGUUCUUGAUUUCGUUUACUGUUGUUCAUUCUGUUAUCAUCCUACUGUUACACUGUUGUUGUCAUGUCUUCAACCUGUUCAACGUUUCUGCUUUCUAUUAUGAUGUCUGAGUAGUGAAUAGGUUUCUGAGGAUGGGUUAGAGUAGUGUAGAAUUCUCAGUAUGCUAGGUGAUUGAGUAUUGGUUGAUAGAUCCCUUCUGGAUUAGUUGUUCUUAAUGCCUAUUGCUUUCUGAUCAACUAGAAUUUGAGCCCAGACAUUUCCGCGCCCAAAAGGUGUUCGAUGAAAUGUCUGAACCACUAAUUCAAGAGAUUCGUGACCCAGUACCAAGGUAUUGGUUGCAGGGAGCGUUUUGGCUUUAACUUGUUGAUUCGUAAUGCCUGUUAGGUUAGCUCUCGUCAAUGGUGAUUGAAUCUGGAACUAGGUUAACUUGAGGGUCUCUGUUGCGGUGGCACUUAGAUUUGGUUAAUGAACUUGUUGUCUAGGGUUAAUUUACUGAGCAUGUCAAUCACCUGUAAACUGAGAAAACGAAACUACUCAAUUUCCCCAUCCUCGGGAAUUCUUUAUCUGAUUGAAUUCUUUGUUUACUAUAUUGUUGUUUACUGCAUCUUGUUAUCUGUUGCUUAAUUUCUGCAGUUCUUUCUUGUUACUCGACCUCAUACUCGACCACCUAGUUGUAUGGCAACAGACUGUGCAGUCGAGUAUCUGUGUUUCAUUUUUUGUCUGUUACUCGACCUCACCCAGUGCUCUGCAAAGAGCUGUGUUGGUCGAGUGUUUUUUACUGUUUCUGUUUCAUUUUCUGUUUUCUGCAUAUUCACUUAGGACUGCUAGAACACACCAAAACCUGUUAUUGCUUGGCUUGACUUAGUGACUUCUGAUCACAUCUUGAUUGUUAGCAUCACACCCAUUUGGAUUGACAACCUUCAGUACUACAACGAUAUGAUUGGUGUUUUAGGAUAAUUGACUAAAAAAACUAUUAUCAAUGCCCUUUGUGCUGACUAAUGCACCAGCCACCUUCCAAUCAGUGAUGAAUGAGCUGUUUAGACCAUAUAUGCGCCGGUUUGUUUUAGUGUUCUUUGACGACAUUCUGGUAUACAAUCUUGAUGUAGAGACACAUCUCAAACACUUAGAGGUUUUUCUUCAGAUUCGGUUACAGAACAGGUUCUACGCCAAUGAGAAGAAAUGCCACUUUGGUUGCACAAGGAUAUCAUAUUUGGGCCAUAUGAUCACUAGCGAAGGAGAUUCUACAGAUCCCACAAAGAUAGAAGCUAUGGUAAAGUGGCCACAGCCCAAGAAUAUAACAGAGCUGCGCGGGUUUUUAGGCCUUACUGGUUACUACAGAAGGUUUGUGGCAGGUUAUGGGAAGAUAGCAAAGCCACUGACAGAAUUACUCAAGAAAGGGAAAUUUGAAUGGUCUGUUGAAGGUACAAGUACUUUUGAGGCUUUAAAAGAGGCGGUUAUCUGUCUUCCAACGUUAGCAUUACCAGAUUUUGAGAAGCCAUUUGUGAUAGAGACUGAUGCUUUAGGCACGGGUAUAGGAGCAGUUCUAUCUCAGGAUAAGCGUCCCAUUGCGUUCAUUAGCCAAGGAUUCUCCAGUAAAGGCAGAGUUAAAUCAAUAUAUGAGAGGAAACUUUUGGCGAUUGUUUUUGUAGUGGAUAAGUGGAAGCACUACCUCACGGGAGAAAAGUCAUUAUCAGGACUGAUUAGAGAAGCCUGAAACACUUACUCAACCAGAAGGCAGUGUCAGCCAUACAACAAAGGUGGGCUUCGAAAUUAGUUAGCCUGGACUAUGAGAUUGAGUAUAAGCAUGACUCAGAAAAUAGAGUAGCAGACGCGCUAUCUAGACGUCCAGUAACCGAGCAAAUAAUGAACAUGCUGUUUCUAGCUUCGGCGACAGUGAACAAGGAAGAACUGUAGGCACAGGUACAAAAUGAUCCCAGCCUCAAACUCAUACAGGAACAACUGCUUAGAGGAGAGGAAGGGGAGAAAGGAUACAGUCUGGUAGCUAACACCUUAUAUAAGGAUGGCAGAAUUGUUAUGCCAGAAAGCUCUCCUUUUAUCCCAAAAUUGCUGGAACAGUUUCAUACUAGUCCCAUUGGAGGACAUGAAGGAGCGUUUAAGACAUUUAAAAGGUUAUCUAGUGAAGUUUACUGGAAAGGCAUGCGCAAGGACGUGGUGGAGUUCCUCAAGGGUUGUCAAGUUUGUCAACAAAACAAGUAUUCUACAUUGUCUCCAGCCGGCCUCUUGCAACCAUUACCCAUUCCGACUAAGGUAUGGUCCAAUAUCAGCCUUGAUUUCAUUGAAGGGCUUCCAGUUUCAAGUGGAUAUGAUGCGGUACUCGUCGUGGUAGAUCGGCUCAGCAAGUAUGGUCAUUUUAUUCCCCUUAAGCAUCCUUACACAGCUAAAUCAGUAGUAGAAGUGUUUAUUAAAGAGAUUGUUAGACUUCAUGGAUUUCUAGAGAGUAUGGUUUCAGAUCGGGACAAGAUUUUUGUCAGUCACUUUUGGUCUGCUCUUUUCAAGUCCCAAGGAACACAUCUGGCUAAGAGCACAGCAUACCACCCACAGUCGGAUGGCCAAACCGAGGUCCUAAACAGAUGCUUAGAGACUUACCUUCGCUGUUUUGUUAAUGGAAAGCCAAAAUCUUGGGCUCAAUUGUUUUCCUGGGCAGAAUACUGGUCUAACACUUCGUUUCAUUCUGCCAUCAAGAUGACUCCAUUUCAGGCCUUGUACGGAAGAGAACCACCGAAACUGUUACGAUUUGGUGACAUCCCAAAAGCUAACGCGGUGGUAGAGGAGAUGCUACAAGAAAGGGACAGAGUGGUCACGAUGCUGAGAGAAAAUCUGCAGGCAGCUCAAGCCCGAAUGCAAAAAUCAGCUAACAAGCAUAGAAGGGAGCUGGAAUUCAUAGUUGGCGAUUGGGUUUAUCUAAAGUUAAGACCUUACAGGCAGGUAACCGUGGCACAGCGUCGCAAUGAGAAGCUAUCUCCCAGAUUUUUUGGUCCUUAUCAGAUUCUUCAAAAAAUAGGUGCAGUAGCCUACAAACUUCAGUUACCAAGCAGCAUCUCCAUACACCCGGUCUUCCAUAUAUCACAGCUGAAGCAUGCGCAACCAAGUUCAGCCCAAGCUCAACCUCUCCCAGCGAUUAUGACUUCUAACUUGGAGUGGGAACCUGAACCUGAAGAUGUACUAGAGAUAAGGGAAAGCAGCACGGGCGCAGAUACUGAGUUAUUGAUUAAAUGGAGAGGUCUGCCAGAGUGUGAGAAUACAUGGGAGCCAAUGAAAGUCAUCAGGCAGCAGUUCCCAGCAUUUCACCUUGAGGACAAGGUGGCUUCGUUACGGGGGAGUAAUGAUAAGGUGGAGACUAUGGAAGGAGAAGCAAGGAAAGGAGAUAGAGCAACAAGGAAGAGGAUUCAAAGAAGAUCUUUGACCCAAGUGGCUAAAGAGAGUUUAAGAAAGUGCAAGGAAACACUCUGUCGCAUCCAGAGGCUUUGAAGUGUCAAAGAAAUAAGUAUGCUAUAGUUCAUAUUAACUGUAUGUUGUUUAAGUAAGAGUCUGAGAGAGUGUGUGUAGUUUUCCAUAGGGAAACUACUAUAAAUGUUGAACUCUACUUUAGGGUUAAGGUAUCAAAGUAUUAAUCAAACUUCCUAUUAUUACUCUCCUCUAUCCUUUAUCCACUCUAUCUUCUUCUUCUUCUUCAUCCGAUUCUAUCUCUUUCUGUUCUUAAUCUUCUUGAUAGGUUCACCACUUAUCACUCGACUUCCUUGUAGAGUGGUGUGAUCGAGUGAUGGUCAAGUGUGGAGGUGAUGAUACUCGACCAGGUGGUAGAGUGAUCGAGUGAAGGUGAUGAAGGUAGUCGACCAUGUGGUAGAGUAGUGUGAUCGAGUGAUGGUCAGGUGGUGGAGGUUAUGAGACUCGACCAGGGGGUCGAGUGGUGAGGUGAAGUGGUGAAGUCCUCUACUCGACCAGGGGGUCGAGUGGUCUGUUGAGGUCGUGAAGCAUCUACUCGACCUGGGGGUCGAGUGGUUUGACAUGAUCAGGAACGCUUCUUCCAAUUAGCUCGUCAACAGCUCCAAAUCACCUGAAAACAACACAAAUAUGCAACAUGCAUGCAAAACUAUCCUAAACAUGCAAAGUGAUGACAAAUGAUAUAAAACAAUGAUGAUAUGAUGAUAAAGUGAUGACAAAUGGAUGCUCAAAACAGGCAAAAUGCACACUUAUCAACUCCCCCAAACUUAGUCUUUGCUUGCCCUCAAGCAAACAAUUAAGAACAAGUAGGAGGUGAGAGUUGAAGGCGGGGACUUUGAGCCAAAGCACCAGAUAAAUCAGAUGAAAUCAAUGUCCAAGUUGAUAGUUCUAAGCUGCGAUAUGAUUGAAUUCUACUCAAAAACGUUAGCUAUGCCUUGUUAUCAAUCAAUCCGACUCUUAUGCUCAGCCUACACAUGUUUUCAAAUCUACCAAUCCCUUUAACAUUCAUUAGUUAUGGAACGUGAAUCAAGCAAUGCAUCUAUCAAUGAACUCAUUUGGCUAAGGUAAAGGUCAAGUGACAAAGAUGGCCCCUUACAGAAUAGGCUUCAGCAAAAGGGGAUCUCUCAAAAAAUGAUUAAGCUUUAGUAGAAUGCUAAAGGUAAGUCCCAAGCUAUGCAUACAGAGAUAAGAUCCCAUCUACCAAGAGUAUAACCAAUGAAGCUCUAAUGGUAAUCCCAUCUCCAAUCCCAAUAUAAGAACUUAACUCUACCCUUUGCAUUCAUGAAUCUUUUAACCCCUUUUUCUAAUCAUUCUUUUCUUUUCUCUUAACUCUAGGAGAAGCUUUCUCAACACUCUGAUACAUCUAGCGGAUUUGUAUUUCUUUAACAACUAAGGAUCCUCUUUUCAAUUUUUAAAACCGAGGACUUUUGCCCUUCUUCAUUAGCUGACAAGAACCCUUUUCUUUUCUUUACAAAUCCCAAAACCUUUACUAGACUUUUUCUACUUCUUUAGCUUACUUCACCUAGAGCCUUUUACCUUUUCUCAUCAAUGAAUCAACUCUUUUGUUUUUUCUUUUUCUUUUAGACACAUCCCAACCCAAAGUAUAAGCACCCACCUAGUCCUAUCUAGUCCGAAAAAUGCGAACUAGAACUACAUGAGACAUUAUCUCUGUCGUUACAAACCUAACACUUUCUACCAAGCUUAAUCGAAAUAAGACCUCAGAAACACUCACAAGUGAUAUAAGGCUUGAAAGAAAGUCUAGAUUUUGGUUCGGGUUAACUGCUCUAAUAAGGAGAGUCAACUACUUGGAUUAACAAGAGUGAUCAAAAUGAAUAAGAAAAUCCAAGUAUUUUAGGGUAUCCAUGAGUUCAAAUUUGAUGCAGACAUGAUAAUUAAAGAUCAGAUUCAGGUUCAAAUUGAUAGGGAAUGGUAUCAGAUCAUGACAGUGUGGUCGAGUAGAGGAAUCUAGGCAUGGUUCGGUUUUACUUCAAUUUCAUUGACUACGCAAAAGACAACUAGCAACGAGGGCACUGAGUUUAUCCAGUGAACCAAAAUGCUUACAAGGCUAUCUCAUCAUUAUUCCCUAUGCAUAUGCAACAAUCCUAAAUGAAACACUCUAUACUCGAUCCUAAAUGUAAUGCAACUACAUGAACACUCUUUUUUUUUGUGAAAUCAUUUUCUGAAAUUUUUCAAUUUUUUUUUGGUUUUUUUAUGCCUUAGAUGAAUGCAGACUCAAGAGUAUAAACAAUGCAACACACACUUCAUGAGCACUCCCCCAAACUAAUCUUGGAAGAGAGUAACUCAGGACAAAUCCAAUCACAGAAACAAAAUAAAGAACAAAUCACAAAAGAUGAUAUAAUACAAUGGUGAAGUGAGGCGCUUACCUCAAUCAAAGAAUGAACGAAGUUGGUCGUCAAUGGCUGCCUGUGAUUGCUCCCAAGCCAUAGACGAGCCACCCUGUUCUGUAUCAGCUCCAGCAGGUGGGUACUCGACCUCAUCAGCUCUGUGGAUACUCGACCUCUCUUCCUCUGCUGCGGCCAGCACCGUGGUCGAGUGAUCUCCUCGAGUGAAUUAGGCAUGAUCUACUGCUAGAGCGAACGAGUGUAGCCUUCCUUCUUCACUUGUGCUCCCGGGACUCGAAUGACGAAUGCCUAGCAGGGACAUGUGAGACUCUCUGCUCACUAAGCUCAGGUCUGUGCUCAGGCUCAUCAAAUCUCCUCAAUGGCAUAUCUAGAGGAGGCUGUCCCUGUGGAAUAGCUGUAGUAGAAGAGGAACAGCUCAGUUAAUCUAUCAGAAACUUGAUAGUCUUAAAGCACUUGGCGAGCCGCUUGUCCUGCUUCUUGCAACACUUCUGCAGCUUAUUGUUGUUCCUAUGAGCUUCACUCAAGCUCUUGCUCUCCCUCGCCAGAGGUACAUGUUCAUCAAAAUGAUACAUGCUAGUGUCGAACUCCACUGCUCUGUCUUCAUCCAUCCCAUCCUAAGCAGCUUCUUCUAUAAGAUCAUCCUCAUCCAAUGGCGGAGCGUUCUCAUAGUAGAGGUUUCCAAGCUCAGGCCGAAAAUCAAUGUUAUCUCCCUCUAUUAUCCGUGUAACCUUAGGGCUGGGGAGAAGGAUGCUAGCUCUCUUAUCCGUAGAGUGCUUAAACCUAAAACAGUGCAUGUCGCCAACCAUUCCGAACUUCAGGACGUAGGAUGCUAACUCCAGGACUUCGCAGUGACGUAGAUGCUUGAUAUCAAUUGCCCGUGGCUCGAGUCCAUCAGAUGUGAUUGGGACUCCACAAGCAAUCAGAAUCGGUGUCACAACACCGACUAUGCAAAGAGCGCCUCGUGCUCUCUUGUGAUUAUUGCUGACAGCCCAGCUCUUGUAUCCACACAGGUGGAUUAGAAGAAGUACAGAGAAAGGUGUGUCAUUGAUUUCACAGAUAUGUUGUUCUUAGUUUGGUAGAGAGUGCCUUUGAGAGCAUAUAGCGAUCAUCUCCAUAUCAGAAUUGGUAACAGUCCCUGUGAUCUCUCUGGAGUAGAGGACAUUGGCUAUAGAACGCUGGAAGUACCUGAUGACAGGGCUGCGUAUCUGAUUGCUCUUUAACCUGGAAGAAUUUAGCGGUACAGAGCUGCCAAUGGUGAUCCAUAAGUCUUUCAACUCUUCUCUGUCAUACUUGGGCUUAGUACCCGUUCCACUGGGGAAACCAAAAAGUCCUUCCAAGCGUUUGAUUGAUAACCUAUACUCAUGACCAUACACAGAGAAUCUCAAGAAUCCCAAUCCUUCGCAAUCCAACUCAUCAGAGGUCAUACCUUGGUAAAGCUCCACUUGCCGUGUGGAGAGGAAUUGAAUUGUCUCUUCUUCAUAUGCUACAUACGGAUAAGCCAUCAGAGUGUCCACAUGACUACUCUGGUACAGGUGUUGAACAUCUUCCAACAAUCCAAGUUAUGCAAGUGUGGUCGAGCAUGGAUACCUUGUGCUACAGAACUCAUUUAGUUUGAAGAGUCUGAUAUACUCCUCAGCAGGUAAUACAUCUGGUUUGUGAAGAAGCUUUGUGGCUCUACUAGUAUGCUCAAGCAUGUACUCGUCUUCUAGAUCCUCAUCUAUAAGCUCGUACCUCUCUGUCAUUGCUCUCUUCCCUCGAGCUAUCUCAGCUUUUCUUCUGAAGCUAUCAAAUUCUAUCUUUUCUCUCUCUGGCCUUGAAGAUGACGACUAUGUCUCAUCCAUGUUGUAGUCAGGAUCAACUGAAGAAUUGCCACUGUAAUUACUCAUGAUUCUCUUGUAGAAGAUUUAGAACUCAAAACUCCAAUAUCAAUAGGAUAGUCUCAAAGAGAACAAUCAAACCAAAAUUGUUAACAACAGACAAUAUAGACCCAAACGGUCAAGUACAAUCAAAUACUCAAGUAAGCUUAACUUUUUCCAAGUUUCUCUUUCACGGGUUGAAUCGAGUGGCUCAGAUAUAAGAGGUCGAGUAAUGUUGAGGAAGUAGUGUGCAGAUGGUGAAUCAGGUUGGUCGAGUAUACCAUAGGUGAGCCAAAAUUGGCAGGGACGAAACCUCAAAUCGACGAUCGAGUACAGUGGAUGUAAUCGAGUAGCUCUUGAGACGACGACGGUAAACGAGGUGGAGACUCGACUUAGACGGGAAGUGACGGUUAACGGCGAAGUGAAGUGGUUGAGUGAUUCAAGGUGAAACGUAAUCGGUGGUCGAGUGGGACUUUGAACUCGACUGCGGCGGCUGUAAUUCUUUCCAGCUGCGGUCGAGUGGUUUCGGCGAGGUCGAGCGUGGCUUGGUUUCAGAGGUCAAGUUGAUUCUUGCGAUCGAGUGGUGGAAAACUGAAUAGAGGUUGGUCGAGUGAAAUUUCAAAAGCAGUGGUGGAGAUUGAGUUUGAGAUUCUCUCUCCAUCUUAUCCUCAGCGCGUGGUCCACACUCUGUUGAUUGGGAAAACUGCAGGAAAUCUACAGUAAACUUGAUUAACUCCCUGUAAGGCUCUGUAGCUUCUGUUGGUCGAGUAAUAUGAUGAUUUAAAAUUUUUUGGUUUUAAACAUCACUCAUACUCGACCAAUGUACUCGAGUGCAAGGUCUCCAUGUGCAACAGAAAAUUUACAAAAUUUUGCACUCCAACGGGCUAUACACUCGAUCUCCAGGUCUUUUGUAAAGUAAAAGUUUUGAAUUUUUACUCUAUCUCCACCUUGUUCCUUUGUUCCUGAGAACCACAAACACAACUAAGACAAAUCAAAAAUAACAACAAAAGAAAAAUUUAUUUACAGAGAUAGUCAUGGGACCUUCCUCCCAAGUGAGCUUGUUUAAAGUCUCUAGCUUGACUGCUCACACUUAUCAAGAAGAAAAUGAAUGAUAGAGAGGGUCUGCAUAGUCCUCUCGGAUAUCAUCAUCAUACUCAGCGUCCUCCCUGGAGAGGUCUGCAGCAGAACACUCAAUUCCCCUUUCUUCAAAACAGGCUUCUUUCUCUUCUAGAGGGUAAUCUAUCUCUUCAGACCAUCUUGAAGUGAACCUUUUUCUCGGGAUAAUGUCAAUUCCGCCUUUAGGUUGAGCUUUCUUCUGCAUCUGAUUCAGCUUACUCUUAAGCUCCUCAAUAGUGUGGGCUAGCUUCCCUAUAGUUUCAUCUUGCUUAUCAGACCUCUUUUUAAGCUCCCUUACUUUUUCAGUCUCAUACGCUUCUCUUGGGAUCACUCUAUCGUCUCCAGAGGGUUUUUCAUAUUCUUUUGACUCUUCUGGAGUUUUGUUGAUGUCAAAUUGCAACUUGAUGUGCUUUCCAAGGUUGAGACUUAUUUUUUCUUCCCUGACAUCUAUCACUGCUCCCACUGAGGCUAAGAAGGGUCUUCCCAGGAUUAAGGGAUCCUUAUGCUCUUCUUCCAUAUCCAGCACCACGAAGUUUGUAGGCACUUCCACUCCAUUAAUCAUGACUGGUAGAUCUUUCAACAUGUCGGAGGGUUUUCUUGAAGACCUAUCUGCAAGGAUCAAAGUCAGGUCACAAGGCCUGUACUAAAUAAAUUCCAACCUUCUUGCCACAGAGAGUGACAUUAAGGUGACAGAGGCUCCGAGAUCGCACAGGCAAUCGCUGAAAGCUAAUUCCCCAAUUGAACAUGGUAGAGUAGAAUAUCCAGGAUCUUCUAACUUUUCUUGAACAAUCCUCUUAUCAGCAACUCGAGAUGGAGUAGCGUCACUAUCAUCAUCUGAAUCGUGAUACAUCUUAAUCCUUUCCAGUAUCAGAUUUCUCACAUCUUUGUGAGGAUCAGGAAUCAGGUUGAGAACUUCCAUCAGUGGCAUCACUGUUUCAUUCUCGUCUAGCUGUUUCGCUGCAACAGACUUGUAUCUCUCCAUCCAUGCUUUCCUGAAUUUCAUGGAAGAGCAUGUGAGGGUAAUGGAGUAGGUUUGAAUCGUUUUACCAUUCUCUCGAUUAUGGCUGCUUUCUCUUCCGAGGUGGAUUAAAUGAGAUGGUGAGAACCAGCAGAAUGGUUGAAUUCUACAACAGAGACCUCAAUCUUGGUUGAAGGCUCCCCUUCUUGAACAUCACUGUCCCCAGUGAUUAAGUCAGGGACAGGUCGAGUUGGCUGCUCUCGAUCCUGGCAGAUAGUGAUGGCGUGAGCAGUUGCAUACUCCUUUGGAUUUUGUAUUGACUUCCCAGGAAGUCCUGUAACUUUAGGACCAGAGGUAGAUGUUGAUUGUCCUUCCAAGUAUCUGACUUUGGUAUUCAAUGUCUCCACUUUGGCAUUCAGGUCAUUGUAGCUAUAGUCCAGCUUAUGGUGCAAUUCAAAUAACUUCUUAGCAAUUUUCAUGGAGCUAGAUGCUUGUCCCUGUAGCAGCUGUUGUACCAUCUGUUUCAUUUCGGGAUCAGGAGCUGCAAGACCUUGGUUUUGCUGAGGUGCAAACCCAGGUGGUGGUUGCGGCUGGUAGUUCCCCUGAAAUUGUUGGGAACAAAUCCUUGAUUGUAAGGAACAAAAGGUUUGUUCUGACCUUGUUGUUGAUGUGGAGGAUACACCUGAUCCUGAGGAUUCGCAACGUUGGUGCUCCGGUAGGAGAGGUUGGGGUUGUUGGUUUUGAAGUUGUUAUACCCUUUGUAGCCACCCUGGUUGUUGUUGAUGUAGCUGACCUCUUCCAACUGGUUACCCUCCCCAUCUUGGACUUGAUACUGCUCGUCAUCAACAAGGAAGUGCACAUGCUUCUACUGGCUAAGAAGAAUCCUUUCCAGCUUGUCGUUCAGCGCUUUGAUCUCCUUCUUGUGUUUGUCAUCAGAGUCAGCUGUGCUUCUGAUGGUCCUAUCGUAGUCCUCAUUGUAAUUACCAUCUAAUUGAGCUAGGUUCUCAACCAAUUCCCAGCCUUCUUCAACAUCCUUGUUCUGGAAAUUCCCAUUGUUGGCGGUAUCCAGAAGCAUUCUGAUGCGUGGUAAAACGCCUAUCUAUGGAGUGCUUAGCAGAGAGGCUUUCGUGAAGCAAUGAUGAGGGCAUUGGUUGAUGUAACCUCUGAAACGCUCCCAUGCUUCAUAGAAGCUUUCACCCGUCUUCUGUGAAAAAUCAGAAAUCUUAUUUCUGAGUUUUGCAGUUCUGGCGUUGGAGAAGAACUUUGAUAGAAAGUCCUGUGGAGUAAACAAUAAAAUCAAUCAGAUAAAGAAUUCCCGAGGAUGGGGUAAUUGAGUAGUUUCGUUUCCUCAGUUAACAGGUGACUGACAUGCUCAAUAAAUUAUCCCUAGACAACAAGUUCAUUAACCAAAUCUAAGUGCCACCGCAACAAAGACCCUCAAGUUAACCUAGUCCCAGACUCAAUCACCAUUGACGAGAGCUAACCUAACAGGCAUUACGAAUCAACAAGUUAAAGCCAAAACGCUCCCUACAACCAAUACCUUGGUACAGAGCCACAAAUCUCUGGAAUUAGUGGUUCAGACAUUUCAUCGAACACCUUUUGGGCGCAGAAAUGUCUGGGCUCAAAUUCUAGUUGAUUAGAAAGCAAUAGGGAUUAAGAACAACUAAUCCAGAAGGGAUCUAUCAAUCAAUACUCAACCACCUAGCAAACUGAGAAUUCUACACUACUCUAAUCCAUCCUCAGAAACCUAUUCACUACUCAGACAUCAUUAUAGAGAACAUAAACGUUGAACAGGAUGAAAACAUGAUAACAAUAAUAUAAUAGCAAAACGAUAACAGGAUGAACAACAAUAAACGAAAUCAAGAACAAAUACUGAAUACUGAGUAGAUAAAGAGAAAUCCGGAUUACAAAAGGUCUAGAACACAGUGUCUGCGGAAUAAAACUAGAUAAAAACCUCUUCUCGAAAAUGUAAAGUACAUGCUUAUUAUAGCAAAAUAUUCUGAAACUCUAAUACUCAAAAUGACGCAGUAUUGGGACGGAUUAAGAACUGUACUCGACCCUGAUGGUCGAGUGAGAGGUCGAGUGAUAUGCUGGAGUCUUCUAUUCUUCCUUGUGCUCGAGUGUCUAGUUGAGUGCAGAAAUGAAGAAGACUCUGAAGCUCGCCAUAGAGUAUGUAGUCGAGUGGUGGUGGUGAAGACACUCGACCUGGGGGUCGAGUGAUGUGAUCGAGUGACUGGUCAGGUUGUGGAGGUGAAUACACUCGACCAGGUGGUCGAGUGAGGUGAUCAAGUAUCUCUCGUGGUGGUACUCGGCCAGGGGGUCGAGUGAUGAGAUGAAAUUGUGAAGUCCCCUACUCAGCCAGGGGGUCGAGUGGUCUGUUGAGGUCUUGAAGCUUCUACUCGACCUCGGGGUCUAGUGGUUUGACAUGAUCAGGUCCGCUUCUUCCAGUUAGCUCGUCAACAGCUCCAAAUCACCUGAAAUCAACACAAAUAUGCAACAUGCAUGCAAACCUAUCCUAAACAUGCAAAGUGAUGACAAAUGAUGAGAAAUGGUAUUAUACAGUGAUGAUAUGGUGCUUAAGUGAUGACAAAUGGAUGCUCAAAACAUGCAAAAUACACACUUAUUAACUCCCUAAUAAUAUGUUUUUAGUCAAUUAUCCUUAAACACCAAUCAUGUCUUUGUAGUAUUUUAGGUGUCAAUCCAAAUGGGUGUGAUGCAAACAGAUGAGAUGUGAUCAGAAGUCACUAAGUCAAGCCAAGCAAUAACAGUAUUGGGGUUUCUUACAGUCCUAAGUGAACAUGCAGAAAACAGAAACAAUAAUAGAAUUACUAAAAUCACCCGACCACAACAGGCUGAUGCAAGAAGUAGGAUGUGAUCGAGUAAGAGGCAGGAUAUGAAACAAAUAUACUCGAUUGCACAGUCUAUUGCCAGACACUGGGUCUGGUCGAGUAUACAUGUCGAGUAACAGACAGGAAAUGAGACAGCUGUACUCGAUUGCACAGUCUGUUGCCAGACACUGGGUGUGGUCAAGUAAGUUGGUCGAGUAAUUGCAAAAACUAAGAAACAGGCAAUGAAAACGAUUAAGUGAUAACAAUAAAACGGAGAAAUCAGAUAGACGAGAAAUUCCUAAGGAUGGGGUAAUCAAGUAGAGUUGUAUCCUAGCCUAUUCGAAUGGUUAACAAGCGCAAUCAAGCUAUCCCUAGACUGAUCAAUUAACUCCCGUGAUAGAAAUCCUCAAGCAAAGCUAGCCCAGACUAAUUUCUAUUAACGGAAUCUAACUAUGCAGGCAAUAAGAACAGACUGAUAAAGUCAAUAAACGCUCUAAUCGGCCAAUCCCUUGGGAUAGAGACGAAUAUCUCAGGAACUAGUCGAUCGAACAUUCCAUCGAACACCUUCUGGGUGCGGGAAUGCUUUGCUUGAAUUCCAGUUGAUCAGAAAGAAAUAAGCAGUAAACGCAACUAGUCCUGAAGGGAUUCAAUCAAUUCUAAAAUUUAACCAUUCUACAGACUACGGAUUCCACAAAUACUCUAUCCCAUCCCUAAGAAUUCUAAGUCACUACUCAGACAACAUGCUCAAAGACAUAAACGCAGAUAAAUGAUAAUAUUGCAUAAGUAAAGAGAUAAAGAGUAGAGAAACAAGAUGACAGAUGAAAUCAAAUGCGGAAUCUGAAUAACUUGGAAAAAUCUCGAAUUACUGGUUGCAGAAGCAAAAGCGGCACAGCAGAGUAAAACAGAAAAUAAAACUGAAGCAAAAACUCAAUGUCGACUAGAUGUCUCAGGACAGAACCCUAAGACAUCUAUUUAUACAAAACGAAAUAAAAUGAUAGUAGACGGGCCAAUAACCUAAUCGCCCGGCCCAUAGAAUGAUAAUGGGCCGAGAUGGGCUUCGUGAUCCGAUGGAGGUCUAGGCCGCUUCUAAACACUUUGUCUUCUCCUCUUCUCUUCCUUGUGCUCAGCUUGUCUGGUUGAGUGCGGAUUUGAUUAGACUAUAAAGACGUGAUCGAGUGUCCGGUCGAGUGAUGGUGAUGGUGGUGAGUGAUGAUACUCGACCAGGGGGUCGAGUAACUUGGUAGAGUGAAUGGCUGAGUGUGGUCAGGUUGUGUGGCGAAGUGAUAUUCGACCAGGGGGUCGAGUGGCGUCAUCGAGUGGCCUGAGCUGAGGAUACUCGACCAGGGGGUUGAGUAGGUGGGAAGAAUAGCUCCAAAGUUACUCGACUUGGGGGUAGAGUAUAGUGCUGGAUGCACACGACCUGGUGGUCGAGUAUGUCUUCUGGUUCUGGCUCGUUUCUUCAAAUUUGCUCGCAAACAGCUCCAAAUCAUCUGAAAACAACUCAGAAAUGCAAUAUGUAUGCAAAGCUAUCCUAAUCAUGCAAAGUAUGCAAGAAUGAUGAGAAAUGAUAUAAAACAGUGAUGAAUGAUACAAAACUGGACUCAAAACGAUGAUGAAUGGACACUGAAAACAUGCAAAUUAUAGACAUAUCAACUCCCCCAAACUUAGUCUUUGCUUGCCCUCAAGCUAAUAAGAAGACAUAGUUGAAGGAGAGGUUUGAAGGCGGGGACUCAGAACCAAAGCAUAUGAUAGAGCGAAUAAAAUCAAUGUCCAAGUUGGUAGUUCUAAGAUGCGAUAUGAUUGAAUUUUACUCAAAAACGUUAGCCAUGCCUUGUUAUCAAUCAAUCCGUCUCUUAUACUCGACCUACACAUGUUUUCAAAUCUACCAAUCCCUUUAACAUUCAUUAGUUCUGGAACGUGAAUCAAGCAAUGCAUCAUCAAUGAACUCAUUUGGCUAAGGUGAAGGUCAGGAGACAAAGAUGGUCCCUCACAAAAUAGGCUUAAGUACCAAGGGAUCUCUCAAGAAUGAUUGAGCUUUAGUAGAAUGCUUAAGGUAAGUCCCAAGUUAUGCAUAUAGAGAUAAGAUCGCAUCUACCCAGAGUAUAACAAUGAAGCUCUAAUGGUAAUCCCAACUCCAGUCCCAACUUAACUCUACCCUUUGCACUCAUGAAUCUUUCAAACUUUUUUUUUUCUUUUUCAAAUCAUUCUUUUCUUUUCUCUUAACUCUAAGAGAAGCUUUCUCAACACUCUGACACAUCUAGCGGAUUUGGAUUUCUUUAACAACUAAGGUUCCUGUUUUUAAUCUUUAAAACCAAAGGCUUUUAACCCUUCUUCUUUAGCUAACAAGAACCUCAUUCUUUUCUUUAACAUUCCCAAAACCUUUACUAGAUUUUUUUUCUAACUUCUUUUAGCUUACUUCCCCUAGAAUUCUUUCCCUUUCCUUAUCAACAAUGAAUUCACCCUUUUCUUUUAAACACAUCCCAACCCGUGAUAUAAGCGCCCACCUAGUCCUAUCCAGUCCGAAAACGCGAACUAGAACUACAUGAGACACUAUCUCUGUCGUUACGAACCUAACACUUUCUACCAAGCUCAAUUGAAAUAAGACCUCACAAACACUCACAAGUGAUAUAGGGCUCGAAAGAAAGUUUAGGUUUUGGUUCGGGUUAACUGCUCUAAUAAGGAGAGUCAGCUACUUGGACUAACAAGAGUGGUUAAAAUGAGUAAGAAAAUCCAAGUAUUUUAGGGUAUCCAUGAGUUCAAAUUCGAUGCCAAGACAUGAUAAUUCUAAAUCAGAUUCAAGUUCAAAUUGAUAGGGAAUGGUAUCAGAUCCAAACAGUGUGGUCGAGUAGAGCAAUCUAGGCAUGGUGCAGUUUUACUUCAAUUUCAAUGACUACGCAUCAGACAACUAACAACGAGGGCACUGAGCUUAUCUGGUGAACCAAAAUGCUUACAAGGCUAUCUCAUCAUUAUCCCCUAUGCAUAUGCAACAAUCCUAAACGAAACACUCUAGACUCGUUCCUAAAUGCAAUGCAACUACAUGAGCACUCUAUUUUUGUGAAAUCAUUUUCUGAAAUUUUUCAAUUUUUUUGUUUUUUCCUAUGCCUUAGAUGAAUGCAGACUCAAGAUUAUAUACAAUGCAACACACAUUGCCUGAGCCCUCCCCCAAACUUAAAUCACACAGUCCACUGUGUGACCAAAUUUGGAAGAGAGUACUCAGGACAAAACACAUCACAGAAACAAAAUAAAAACAAGAGAUGGUAUAUUACAAUGGUGGAGUGAGGUGCAUACCUCAGUGGAAGAAGGAGCAGAGUUGGUCGUCAAUAGCUGCCUGUGAUUGCUCCCAGGCCAUCGAAGAAUCUCCCAGUUGUGUCUCAGCUUCCCCCUAGGGGUACUCGACCUCUGCUCCUUCGUCGCGGCCCGCACCGCUCUGAUGAUACUCGACCUCUCUUCUUCUGCUGCGGCCAGCACCGUGGUCGAGUGAUUUACUGACAUGGAGAAGUUUUGAUUGCACCACUCGCUAUACUCGAUCACAUCGUCAUUCAGUCCCUGUAGGGUGUGGUCGAGUGAUUUCAUGGGGUGGAGAAACCAGAACAAUGUCGAGUAUCCUUGAUUGCUCUUUGGUCGAGUGUAUUGCUGUUCCCUCAAAGCCAGAAUCUAUUUCCGUCAGCUCUUCAUACUUAUCGCCUGAAAACACUAACAAGAUGCAUCAAAAACAACAAGAAAAAUUAAAGAUAUGUACAAAGAUAGGCAUGGGACUUCCUCCCAAGUGAGCUUGUUUUAGGUCUCUAGCUUGACUCUUCAUACUCAUUAGGCGUUUAUAGGCUCAUCCAAAGGAACAGAAGUUCCUUCUGGAAUAAACUGAUCUAUCAUGUAUUUCUUGAGCCGUUGUCCAUUGACUGUGAAGUCUCCAUUCUUUCCAGCUAGAGUGAUAGCACCAUAAGGUCGGACUGCAGUAACAGAGAAAGGACCAGACCAUCUAGACUUGAGCUUGCCUGGAAAAAGCCUCAAGCGAGAGUUGAACAGCAACACUUGAUCACCAACCUUAAAAUCUCUUGAGACUAUCUUCUUGUCAUGGAAAGACUUGGUUCGCUCCUUGUAGAUUUUGGAACUCUCAUAAGCUUCUAAGCGAAUCUCGUUGAGAUCGUUCAGUUGGAUCAAUCGCUUCUCCUUGGCGGUUUUAAUGCCAAAGUUCAGGAGUUUAACUGCCCACAUGGCUUUAUACUCGAGUUCAACAGGCAAAUGACAGGAUUUUCCAUAGAGGAGGUUGAAAGGAGUCGUUCCAAUAGGGGUCUUGAAGGCUGUUCUGUAAGCCCAUAGUGCGUCAUCGAGCUUAGUAGACCAAUCUUUCCUUGUAAUUCCCAUUGUUUUCUCUAAAAUUGCUUUUAUCUCCCUGUUGGAGAUUUCCACCUGCCCGCUCGUCUGUGGAUGAUAAGGAGUGGCUACCUUGUGCUUUACUCCAUGCUUCUUCAAAAGGUUCUCAAAAACCUUGUUGAUAAAAUGUUUCCCUCCGUCACUGAUCACAACUCUCGGGACUCCAAAUCUAGGGAAGAUAAUUGUCUUGAACAGCUUUAGCACAACUCUAGCAUCAUUGGUGGGGCUGGCUAUGGCUUCCACCCAAUUGAUACAUAGUCUACUACGACCAGUAUGUACUUGUUCCCGUAAGAAAAAGGAAACGGACCCAUAAAAUCAAUUCCCCAAACGUCAAAGAUCUCAACUUCUAAGAUCGGAUUCUGAGGCAUCUCAUUCCUUCUGCUGAUGUUCCCUUUCCUUUGACAUGAGUCACAUUUCGAGAUAAAUUCCUGAGCAUCCUUAAACAUUGUCGUCCACCAAAAACCAGCUUGCAAGAUUUUUGACACUGUCUUGAACGUUGCAAAGUGGCAACCAUAGGCGGACCCAUGGUAGUGCAGUAGGAUGCCUUCGAUUUCGUCUUCUGAAACGCAUCUCCUGUAGAUCUUAUCCUUGCAGAGUGUGUAGAGAUAAGGUUUGUCCCACUAGAAGUGGUUAAUGUCCUUGAAGAACUUCUUCUUCUCAUAGCUCGACAAAUUCGGAGGCUCUUCACCACUAACCAAGUAGUUGACGUGAUCAGCAUACCACAAAAGCUUUUCUUCAAUUGCACAUACUUGAUCGAGUGAUUUCCGAAUUUGAGCACUCUCGUUAAGUUGCUGAAUUGCCAUUAGCUGUUCUUCUGGCAUGGAAUCGUCAAUAGGGACCUCGUCUUCAAUUCUCAUUCUAGUUAGAUGAUCAGCUACACCGUUUUAAAUUCCCUACUUAUCAAUUAUCUCCAUAUCAAACUCUUGGAGCAAUAAGAUCCAUCUCAACAGCCUAGGUUUGGUAUCCUUCUUCGCGUAUAUAUGCCUCAGAGCAGCAUGAUCAGUGUAGACUGUCACCUUAGAGCCGACUAGGUAGCUUCUAAAUUUUUCGAAUGCAAAUACCACAGCUAGCAGUUCCUUCUCUGUAGUGGCAUACCUUACCUGUGCAUCAUCCAUCGUUCUUCUCGCGUAGUAUAUCACAUGCAACGUUUUAUCAAUCCUCUGGCCCAAAACUGCUCCUACUGCAUAAUCUGAAGCAUCGCACAUGAUCUCGAAUGGGAAGUCCCAGUUUGGAGCUUGGACUAUUGGGGCCGUGACCAAAGCUUCCUUGAUUAACUUAAAGGCUGUCAAACAUUCUUCAUCAAAUGUAAACUCGGCUUCCUUGCACAGUAGUCUUGUGAGCGGUCUUGCCAACUUGGAGAAAUCCUUGAUGAAUCUUUUGUAAAACCCUGCAUGUCCAAGAAAACUCCUGAUGUCCUUGACAGUCUUUGGUGGCUAUAACUACAUCAUCACGUCAACCUUAGCCUUAUCAACCUCUAUCCCCUCCUCAGAAAUUUCGUGCCCCAAAACGAUGCCUUCUCUAACCAUGAAAUGGCAUUUCUCCGAGUUCAGCACCAGGUUUGUCUCUGCACAUCUUUUGAGUACCCUUCAUAGGUUCAACAAACACGAGGAGAAGGAAGAGCCAUACACAGAAAAAUCAUCCAUGAAUACCUCUACCAUCUCCUAUAUCAAAUCCGAGAAAAUGGAAGUCAACCACCGCUGAAAAGUAGCAGGUGCAUUACAGAGACCGAAAGGCAUACGCUUGUAAGCAAAGGUCCCAUAAGGACAAGUAAAAGUAGUUUUCUCUUGGUCAUUUGGGUGAAUAGGGAUUUGAAAAAAUCCGCUAUAGCCAUCCAACAAGCAAUAGUAAGGAUGGUUUGCUAAUCUUUCUAGCAUUUGAUCAAUGAAGGGCAAUGGGAAAUGGUCUUUUCUAGAGGCAGCAUUUAACUUCCUAUAGUCAAUACACAUCCUAUGUCGAGUUAUAGUCCUAGUGGGUAUCAGUUCAUCUUUAGCAUUUUUAACAACUGUCAUACCUCCCUUUUUAGGAACGCAGUGAACUGGAGAUACCCAAGUGCUAUCAGAGAUAGGGUAAAUAACCCCAGCAUCUAAUAGUUUAAGUAUCUCCUUUUUCACAACCUCUUUCAAGUUUGGAUUUAAUCUCCUUUGAGGUUCAAUGCUAGAGUAGGAUUCAUUUUCAAGAUGGAUUCUAUGGGUGCACAAGGUGGGUGAAAUCCCCUUAAUAUCAUCUAACGAAUAUCCUAUAGCUUUCCUAUACUUCUUGAGCUCAGUUAUCAGCAGGUUUACUUGAUCAGCAGUUAGCUCAUCAUUCACUAUGACAGGAUAAGUAGAGUUUAGUCCAAGAAAAACGUACCUUAGCCCUUUUGGUAGCGGUUUCAAAUCUACUUUGGGUGCCUUGAGUUCAGACCAGUCAUCGGAUACUAAGUUGGCUUCAGAGGAGGGGUUGUGGUCGAGUAGUUCGGUCGAGUACACUGAAUGGACUGUUAGUCGAGUGAUGUGGUCAAGUAUAUAUUCCUUCCUUGCUCUUUCACCCAAAUCUUCAUAUUCUCCUGGAUUCUCAACUGCUUUGUGUUCAUCUAACAGCUUCUGGUACCCUAGAGUCUCCAAAUGUAAAUCUCCUUCUUAGCUAUCCUUUGUUAGAGCACUCUGUUGAUGAUCUGUUUCUCUUAGCUCUUCUAGCAUUUCGUCAGCUAACAUAUCCAUCUCUUCAAUCCAGAAAACAUUUCCUUCUAUUGUAGGUUUCUUCAUGGUGUUGGUGAUAUCGAAGGUCAUCUUGAGAUCUCUCCCGAGGUUAAGAUCGAUCUUUCCCUUCUUAACAUCAAUGAUAGCUCCGACUGUAGCUAAAAAUGUUCUUCCCAAUAUCAAAGGGUCUUUAGGUUCUUCAUCCAUUUCUAGAACCACAAAGUCUGUAGGUACUUCGACCACGCCUUUCAUGACUGGUAAGUCUUCCAGGAGACCAUGGGGAAUUCUAACAGAUCUGUCAGCCAGGACCAGGGAUAUUUGUUUGUGUGAAACCAGAGAUAUCAUUCCUUAGUCUCGCAGUCCAGGAGUUUGAGAACAACUUAGCCAAGAAGGCUUUCUUGCAGUCAUUCCUGGAGGUGAUAGAGCCUUGAGGAAGCGAUUUUUCCCACUGAUGGGCUUUGUCUCCAAGAGAGAAUGGAAACAAUCUGAGCUUGAAGUCAUCCUCACUAACUCCAUUGAUCUUUGUUAGGCUGCAGAGCCUAUCAAACUCGUCCAGGUGAUCGAGUGGAUCCUCCAUAGGGAGGCCGUGGAAGUUGUUGCUCUGAACCAUGGCAAUGAGACCGCUAUUGAUCUCAAAGUUGUUGUUCUGCACUGGUGGAGGCACGGAUCCAUUACGCUGAUUGUGGUUGCGUGGUGCAUCGCCUGCACCUAUGUUGUUUGGUUGCACUUGCUCAUCUACAACUGUAGCCAUUGUGUCUGUUUCUGUCUGUGUUCUGAGUUGGCGUGCAAUACGGUCGAUAUUAUCGUUGAACAGGAGAUUCUGAUUUCCUCGUGACCGUGUUUGCAUACAACGAGUACCAACUGAUGAAGCUAGUGAUAGAAAUCCUCAAGCAACAGGUUUAACAACAAAUCAAUUCACUCCCGUGAUAGAAAUCCUCAAGCAAAGCUAGCCCAGACUAAUUCCCAUUAACGGAAUUUAACUAUGCAGGCAAUAAGAACAGACUGAUAAAGUCAAUAAACGCUCUAAACGGCCAAUCCCUUGGGAUAGAGACGCAUAUCUCAGGAACUAGUGGAUCAAGCAUUCCAUCGAACACCUUCUAGGUGCGGGAAUGCUUGAGAUCGAAUUCCAGUUGAUCAGAAAGAAAUAAGCAGUAAACGCAACUAGUCCUGAAGGGAUUCAAUCAAUUCUAAAACUUAACCAUUAUACAGACUACGAAUUCCACAACUACUCUAUCCCAUCCCUAAGAAUUCUAAGUCACUACUCAGACAACAUGCUCAAAGACAUAAACGCAGAUAAAUGAUAAUAUUGCAUAAGUAAAGAGAUAAAGAGUAGAGAAACAAGAUGACAGAUGAAAUCAAAUGCGGAAUCUGAAUAACUUGGAAAAAUCUCGAAUUACUGGUUGCAGAAGCAAAAGCGGCGCAGCAGAGUAAAACAGAAAAUAAAACUGAAGCAAAAACUCAAUGUCGACUAGAUGUCUCAGGACAGAACCCUAAGACAUCUAUUUAUACAAAACGAAAUAAAAUGAUAGUAGACAGGCCAAUAACCUAAUCCCCGGCCCAUAGAAUGAUAAUGGGCCGAGAUGGGCUUCGUGAUCCGAUGGAGGUCCAGGCCGCUUCCAAACACUUUGUUUUCUCCUCUUCUCUUCCUUGUGCUCAGCUUGUCUGGUUGAGUGCGGAUUUGAGUAGACUGUGAAGACGUGAUCGAGUGUCCGGUCGAGUGAUGGUGAUGGUGGUGAGUGAUGAUACUCGACCAGGGGGUCGAGUAACUUGGUAGAGUGAAUGGCCGAGUGUGGUCAGGUGGUGUGGCGAAGUGAUACUCGACCAGGGGGUUGAGUGGCAUCAUCGAGUGGCCUGAGCUGAGGAUACUCGACCAGGGGGUCGAGUAGAUGGGAAGAAUGGCUCCAAAGUUACUCGACUUGGGGUCGAGUAUGGUGCUGGAUGCACAGGACCUGGUGGUCGAGUAUGUCUUCUAGGUCUGGCUCGUUUCUUCCAAUUUGCUCGCAAACAGCUCCAAAUCACCUGAAAACAAAUCAGAAAUGCAAUAUGUAUGCAAAGCUAUCCUAAUCAUGCAAAGUAUGCAAGAAUGAUGAGAAAUGAUAUAAAACAGUGAUGAAUGAUACAAAACUGGACUCAAAACGAUGAUGAAUGGACACUGAAAACAUGCAAAUUAUAGACAUAUAACUCCCCUAAACUUAGUCUUUGCUUCCCCUCAAGCAAACAAUUAAGAACAAGCUGGUGGUGAGGUUUGAAAGCGGGGACUUAUAGCCAAAGCACCUGAUAAACCAUAUGAAAUCAAUGUCCAAAUUGAUAGUUCUAAGCUGCAAUAUGAUCGAAUUCUACUCAAAAACGUUAGCCAUGCCUUGUUAUUAAUCAAUCUGACUCAUAUGCUCGACCUACACAUGCUUUCAAAUCUACCAAUCCCUUUAACAUUCAUUAGUUCUGGAACGUGAAUCAAGCAAUGCAUCAUCAAUGAACUCAUUUGGCUAAGGUAAAAGGUCAAGAGACAAAGAUUGUCCCUUACAGAAUAGGCUUCAGUAACAGGGGAUCUCUCAAAAAAUGAUUAAGCUUUAGUAGAUUGCUAAAGGUAAGUCCCAAGCUAUGCAUAUAGAGAUAAGAUCCCAUCUACCCAGAGUAUAUCAAAUGAAGCUCUAAUGGUAAUCCCAUCUCCAAUCCCAAUAUAAAAACCUAACUCUACCCUUUGCAUUCAUGAAUCCUUUAUGCCCUUUUUCUAAUCAUUCUUUUCUUUUCUCUUAACUCUAGGAGAAGAUUUCUCAACACUUUGAUACAUCUAGCGGAUUUGGAUCUCUUUAACAACUAAGGUUCCUGUUUUUAGCAUUUUAAAACCGAGGGCUUUUGCCCAUCUUCAAUAGCUAACAAGAACUCUUUCUUUUCUUUACAAAUCCCAAAACCUUUACUAGAUUUUUUCUGCUUCUUUAGCUUACCUUACCUAGAGUCUUUUACCUUUUCUCAUCAGAAAAUCCAAGUAUUUUAGGGUAUCCAUGAGUUCAAAUUUGAUGCAAACAUGACAAUUAAAGAUCAGAUUCAGGUUCAUAUUGAUAGGGAAUGGUAUCAGAUCAUGACAGUGUGGUCGACUAGAGCAAUCUAGGCAUGGUUCAGUUUUAUUUCUAAUUCAUUGACUACGCAACAGACAACUAGCAAAGAGGGCACUAAGUUUAUCCGGUGAACCAAAAUGCUUACAAGGCUAUCUCAUCAUUAUCCCCUAUGCAUAUGCAAAAAUCCUAAAUGAAACACUCUAGACUCGAUCCUAAAUGUAAUGCAACUACAUAAACAUUCUUUUUUUUGUGAAAUCAUUUCUGAAAUUUUUCAAAAUUUUUUUGGUUUUUCUAUGCCUUAGAUGUAUGCGGACUAAAAAAUAUACACAAUGCAAUACACACUUCCUGAGCCCUCCCCAAAACUUAAAUCACACAGUCCACUGUGUGGAUAAACUUGGAAGAGAGUACCCAGGACAAAUCCAUUCACAGAAACAAAAUAAAGAACAAAUCACAAGAGAUGAUAUAAUACAAUGGUGAAGUGAGGCGCUUACCUCAGUCGAAGAAUGAACGAAGUCGGUCGUCAAUGGCUGCUUGUGAUUGCUCCCUGGCCAUAGACGAACCGCCCUGUUCCGUAUCAGCUCCAGUAGGUGGGUACUCGACCUCCUCAGCUCUGUGGCGGCCAUCACCGCUCUGAGGAUACUCGACCUCUCUUCUUCAUGUAAACUACGAGAAUGCAGAAGUCGUCUACCCUUGUUGUUAGAUUGAGUGAGUGUGGUCCUCCUCUUCCUCCCAGAUUCAUGAGGCUCGAAUGAUGAAUGCCUCGCAGGGACAUGCAGAAUCUCCUGCUCUCUAGGCUCAGGUUUGCGCCGAAUUGGCUCGGGCGCGUCAUAUCUCCUCGAAGGCAUGUCCUGAGGGAGCUGUCCCUGUGGAAUAGCUGUAGUGGAAGUGGAGCAGCUGAUCUUAUCCUUCAGAAACUUGAUAGCCCUGAGGCACUUGGCGAGAAACUUAUCCUGUUUCUUGCACCACUUCUGCAGCUUGAUGUUAUUCCUGUGAGCUUCGCUCAAACUCUUGCUUUCCCUCGCUGGAAGUAUAUGCUCACUGAAAUGAUACAUGCUCGUGUCAAACUCCGCCUAAUCUAUGUCAUCUGUCUCAUCAACAUCUUCUGUUAUAGCUCCUUCGGUGUGACUAAUCUCCUCAGUUGGCAGACUGCCCUCGAAAUAAAGAUCUUCAAGCGCAGGCUUGAAGUCAAUGUUCCUGCCCUCAAGAAUCCUAGUAGCAUCAAUGUAGGGGAGAAGAAUGUUGGCGAUUCUAAUCGAUGAAUGCUCGAACCUGUAGCGGUGAAAGUCGCUAGCCAUGUCAAACUCCAAGAACUCACAUCGGCGCAAGUGAUCCAAGUCCAUCAUUCUCGGUGCUAACCCUGGUUCCUUAAGCGGUACUCCACAAGCUUCCAGAAUUGGCGUCACAACGCCAUCCAUGCAUAGUGCUCCUGUCACCUUAUUCUUGUCGUUCGUCAACGCCCACUUCCUAUAUCCACACAGGUGGAUCAACAGAGGCAUGACUAGUGGUGCGUUGUUGAGAUCGCCUCUCAAGACAUUCUUUCCCUUUGUACAGCAGAGAAUCCCUGUAAGCGCGGAAUCUAUCAUCUCCAUGUCCGUGUUAGACACGGUGCAUGUAGACUCCCUAGAGUAAAAAACGUUGGCAACCGAGCGGUGAAAGUAGCGGAUCACAGGACUCCGGAUUUGGUUGCUUUUGGACCGCGCCAAGUUUAGCGGUAAAUUAUUCCCAAUAGUAGCCCACAAAUCCUUAAGCUCUUCCCUGUCAAACCUGGUUUUGGUUCCCUUUCCACUAGGGAAACAAAACAGUUCUUCCAACUUCUUGAUCGAAAGCUGAUACCACUGUUCAUCCAUUGAGAACGUCAAGAACCCUAACCCUAAACCCUAAACCCUAAACCCUAAACCCUAAACCCUAAACCCUAAACCCUAAACCCUAAACCCUAAACCCUAAACCCUAAACCCUAAACCCUAAACCCUAAACCCUAAACCCUAAACCCUAAACCCUAAACCCUAAACCCUAAACCCUAAACCCUAAACCCUAAACCCUAAACCCUAAACCCUAAACCCUAAACCCUAAACCCUAAACCUUAAACCCUAAACCCUAAACCCUAAACCCUAAACCCUAAACCCUAAACCCUAAACCCUAAACCCUAAACCCUAAACCCUAAACUCAAUGUAUGUGAGUCCCUCAUACAUCUCCACUUGCAGUGUGGAAAGAAACUCGAUUGUCUCCUCCUUAUAGGAAGCGUAAGAGUAAGACAUGAGUGUUUCCAGAUGCCACUUCUCGAACAGAUGCUGCACGUCCUCCAGUAACCCCAGCUGGGCUAAAGUCUCAUAGUAGGGAUACCUCGUUCCCCAUAAAUCAUUCAUCUCAAAGAAUCUGAUAUACUCCUCCACUGUAACCUAUUCGGGUUUGUUCAGUAGCUUCGUCUUCUUGCACCAUGACUUUGGCUCAUACUCAGUUUUGAUGUCCUCAUCAAUCAGCUCAUAUCUACUGGGCAUCGCUCUCUUCCCUCUGGUGAUUUCUGCUCUUCUCUGAUUACGUCGAGCAGAGGAGCGUUGAAAUUCAUCCCUGAAGCUCUCGUAAACAUGUUCCUCUCUCUCCGGUCUAGAGGACCAGGACUCAGCUUCAUCCACAUUAUAAUCAGGAUCCAUAGAGGAUUCUCGACUGUAGUUACUCAUGAUCAAACCUGUAAACAAUUGAAACUCAAAGAUAAACGUUAAUAAGUUAGUCUCAACAAAACCAAAAACACAAACCAACACAGUAAACCGGUCGAGUGAUGUAAUCGAGUAAACCUUCGUUUAAUUUUUUUUUUUUUUUCUUUUCUUUCGGUUGAUCAAGUGAUUUCGUACGACCGAGUGAAGUUCGUUUCGUGGUAAGAGUGAUGCGUAGGUCGAGUGGUGAGCUUGAAGAGGAGGAGAUAUGGUGAUGCGGUUUGAAAGAGGUUAAGUGAAAAUGGAGGAGCGGUGAUUCGAGUGAUUGUGGUGGUUGAGAGGCGAGGUGAGCUGAAUGAUUCCUCGGUUGCGAAUGUGAGAAGAGAAGACGCGAUCGAGUGAAGAGGCGAUGAAGAAGUUUAUUAUGAGGGAUCGAGUGAAGUGGAGCUCACGGAAGAAGAGAAGAUGGUGGUGGCUUUGGUGAAGAGGUGAGUUGCCGCAAUCGAGUGGUUGUGAGCUUGGAGGUCGAGUGAUUAAAACGAACACUUGAAGACUUGAAUUGCAAUGAGCGACGAUGGGAGAUGAGAGAGUUGCGAAAAGUUUGGUGUGUGGAGAAAGAUGUUGAGGUCGAGUAUAUGAAGAGGAUGGUGAGGAGGUCGAGUGGAUGAGAGUAUGAGAGUUGGGUUGUUGGUUGUAAUGAAUGAGGAGGGAUGGGGUCGAGUUAAUAGGUGUGGAGGAGAUAACGAGGUCGAGUAAGUGAUAGGUGUGGGAUGGGGAUGGCGUCGAGGUUGAGUGGAGAUAGGAUAAGGUGAGGGGGUCGAGUGGUUGUGAGAAGAAAGAGUUGGAUUUCUUGUCUGUUGGUUAGGAGCGUGGGAGACAUAGGGUGCAGCAGUGGGUCCCUCGUCUGUCUCCUUAUUCUAAAUUAUUAUUCUUUCUUCACUAGGAAAGUCUCAGGAAAUCCAACAAUCUUCUGUAAACUUAAUAAACUUCCUGUAAGAACUUGUAGCUUCUGUUGGUCGAGUGAAAUGAUGAUUUAAAAGUUUUAGAUUUUAAACACUCAACCAAUGUACUCGGUCCCUAGGCCGUCUGUAGAGUAAAAGUUUUGAAUUUUUACUCUAGCUUUACGUUAUUCCUCUGUUCCUGAGAACCACAAACACAACUAAAAUAAAUCAAAAAUAACAAGAAAGUAAAAAUUAUUUACAAGGAUAAUCAUGGGACUUCCUCCCAAGUGAGUUUGUUUAAAGUCUCUAGCUUGACUCCUCACACUUAUCAAGAAGAAAAUGAAUGAUAGAGAGGGUCUGCAUAGUCCUCUCUAAUAUCAUCAUCAUACUCAGCGUCCUCCCUGGAGAGGUCUACAGCAGAAUACUCAAUUCCCCUCUCUUCAAAAUAUGCUUCUUUCUCUUUUGGAGGGUUAUCUAUCUCUUCAGACCAUCUUGAAGUGAACUUCUUUAUAGGGAUAGUGUCAAUCCCGCCUUUAGGUUGAGCUUCCUUCUGCAACUGAUUCUGCUUACUUCUAAGUUCCUCAACAGUGUGGGCUUGCUUCUCUAUAGUUUCAUCUUGCUUCUCAGACCUCUUUUUAAGUUCCUUUACUCUUUUAGUCUCAUAUCCUUCUCCUGAGAUCGCUCUAUCAUUUCCAAAGGUUUUUCCAUCUUCUGUUGACCCUUGUGGAGUUUUGUUGAUGUCAAACUGCAACUUGAUGUGCUUUCCAAGGUUGAGACUUAUUUUCCCUUCCCUGACAUCUAUCACUGCUCCCACUGAAGCUAAGAAGGAUCUUCCCAGGAUUAAGGACCCUUAUGCUCUACUUCCAUAUCCAGCACCACGAAGUCUGUAGGCACUUCUACUCCAUUAAUCAUGACUGGUAGAUCUUUCAGCAUGUCGUAGGGUUUUCUUAAAGACCUAUCCGCAAGGAUCAAAGUCAGGUCACAAGGUUUAUACUGAAUAAACUCUAACCUUCUUGCCACAGAGAGUGGCAUUAAGCUGACAGAGGCUCCGAGAUCGCACAGACAAUCGCUGAAAGCUAAUUACCCAAUGGAACAUGGUAGAGUGAAAGAUCCAGGAUCUUCUAACUUUUCUUGAACAAUCCUCUUAUCAACAGCUCGAGAUGGAGUGGCAUCACUUUCAUCAUCUGAAUUGUGAUACAUCUUGAUCUUUUCCAGUAUCAAAUUUCUCACAUCUUUGUGAGGAUCGGGAAUCAGGUUGAGAAUUUCCAUCAGUGGCAUCACUUCUUCAAUCUUGUCUACCUGCUUCGCUGCAACAGACUUGUAUCUCUCCAUCCACGCUUUCUUGAAUGUCCACGGAAAAGCACGUGAGGGUAAUGAAGUAUGUUUGAAUCGUUUUACCAUUCUCUCGAUUAUGGCGGACUUCUCUUCUGAGGUGGAUUGAAUGAGAUGGCGAGAACAAGAAGAAUGGUUGAAUUCAAGAACAGAGACUUCAAUCUGAGUGGAAGCCUUCCUUUCUUGAACAUCACUGUCCCUAGUGAUUAAGUCAGGGACAUGUCGAGUUGGCAGCUCUCGAUCAUGGCAGUUAGUGAUGGCGUGAGCAGUUGCAUACUCCUUUGAAUUCUGUAUUGACUUCCUUGGAAGUCCUGUGACUUUAGGUGCAGAGGUAGAUGCUGAUUGUCCUUCUAAAUAUCUGACUUUGGUAUUCAAUGCCUCCACUUUGGCAUUCAGGUCAUUGUAGUUGUAGUCCAGCUUAUGGUGCAAUUCAAAUAAUUUCUUAGCAAUUUCCAUGGAGCUAGAUGCUUGUCCCUGUAGCAGCUGUUGUACCAUCUGUUUCAUUUCAGCAUCAGGAGCAGCAGGAUCUUGGUUUUGCUGAGGUGCAAACCCAGGUGGUGGUUGCGGCUGGUAGUUCCCCUGAAAUUGCUGCUUAGGAACAAAACCUUGAUUGUAAGGAACAAAAGGUUUGUUCUGAUCUUGUUGUUGCUGUGGAGGAUACACUUGAUCUUGAGGAUUAACAACGUUGGUGCUGCGGUAGGAGAGGUUGGGGUUGUUGGUUUUGAAGUUGUUAUACCCUUUGUAGCCGCUCUGGUUGUUGUUGAUGUAGCUGACUUCUUCCAACUGGUUACCCUCCCCACCUUGGACUUGAUACUUCUCGUCAUCAACAAGGAAGUGCACAUGCUUCUGCUGGCUAAGAAGAAUCAUGUCCAGCUUGUCAUUCAGUGCUUUGAUCUCCUUCCUUUGUUUGUCAUCAGAUUCAGUUGUGCCUCUGACGGUCCUAUCACAGUCCUCGUUGUAAUUACCAUCUGAUUGAGCAAGGUUCUCAACAAUUUCCCAGCCUUCUUCAACAUCUUUGUUCUGGAAGUUCCCAUUGCUGGCGGUUUCCAGAAGGAUUCUCAUGCGUGGCAAAACGCCUCUAUAAAGAGUGCUGAGCAGAGAGGCUUUAGUGAAGCCAUGAUGAGGGCAUUGGGUUGUAUAACCCUUAAAACGCUCCCAUUCUUCACAGAAGCUUUCACCAGCCUUCUGUAAAAAGCCAGAGAUCUCAUUUCUGAGUCUUGCAGUUCUGGCGUUGGAGACGAACUUUGAUAGAAAAGCCUUCUUGCAAUCAUCCCAGGUGGUGAUUGAGUCAUGGGACAGAUUCUACUCCCAAAUGUGAGCUUUGUCGCCCAAGGAGAAUGGAAACAAACGGAGCUUGAAUCCGUCUUCACUGACACCAUUGAUUUUUGUUAGGUUGCAGAGCCUAUCGAAUUCAUUAAGGUGGUCGAGUGGAUCCUCAAUUGGCAGACCAUGGAAUUUGUUCCCCUGAAUCAUCGAGAUGAGACCGCUCUUAAUCUCGAAGUUGUUGUUCUAGAUAGCAGGAGGUGCAAUUCCUUUCCGCUAACGGUGAUCACGUGGUGCGUUUCCAGCACCAAUGUUGGCAGGGCCUUUUUGAUGAUUCUGUUCGUCAGCCAUUUCGAGUGGUUGUUGUGGUAUUAGGUUGACUGUGUUUCUCUUUUCUCUGAGUUCGCGAGCUAUGCGGUCGAUGUUGUCGUUGAAAAGGAGGUUCGGAUUGCCUGUUGAUCGAGUUUGCAUACAGCAGAGGUGUACCUAGAACAAGAAGACAACAAGAAAAAUACACAGUUAGCAACCGAAUUGAAAAUUGAAAAAGAACUUGAUCUAAGCAAGUCUGAAAUCUCAAAUGUAACAAAAAAACACCCAAUUGGCAACGGCGUCAAAUUGAUAAUAGAUUUUUUAGUCAGUUAUCUUAAAACACGAAUCAUGUCGUUGUAGUAUUUUAGUGGCUUGCUAGAACACUGCUAGAACACCAAUCAUACAGCAGAGGUGUACCUAGAACAAGAAGACAACAAGAAAAACACACAGUUAGCAACCAAAUUGAAAAUUGAAAAAGAACUUGAUCUAAGCAAGUCUGAAAUCUCAAAUGUAACAAACAAACACCCAAUUGGCAACAGGGACAAAUUGAUAAUAGGUUUUUUAGUCAAUUAUCUUAAAACACCAAUCAUGUCGUUGUAAUAUUUUAGGUUGUCAAUCCAAAUGAGUUUGAUGCUAACAAUAAGGAUGACUUGAUGGCAUGUGUAUGAUUGGUGUUCUAGCAGUGUUCUAGCAAGCCACUAAGUCACUAAGUCACUAAGUCAAGCCAAGUAAUAACAGGUUUUGGUGUGUUCUAGCAGUCCUAAGUGAACAUGCAGAAAACAGAAAAUCAAGCAGAAACAAUAAAACACUUGACCAACACAGCUCGUUGCAGAGCACUGGGUGUGGUCGAGUGACAGUUCGAGUAACAGACAGAAAAUGUAACAGGGAUACUCGAUUGCACAGUCUGUUGCCGGACAACUGGGGGGUCAAGUAACAGGUCGAGUAACAGUAAAGAAUUGCAGAAACUAAGCAACAGAUGAAAAGAUGCAGUAAACAACAGUAGAGUAAACAAUAAAAUCAAUCAGAUAAAGAAUUCCCGAGGAUGGGGUAAUUGAGUAGUUUCGUUUCCUCAAUUUACAGGUGAUUGACAUGCUCAAUAAAUUAUCCCUAGACAACAAGUUCAUUAACCAAAUCUAAGUGCCACCGCAAUAGAGACCCUCAACUUAACCUAGUCCCAGACUCAAUCACCAUUGACGAGAGCUAACCUUAUAGGCAUUACGAAUCAACAAGUUAAAGCCAAAACACUCCCUGCAACCAAUACCUUGGUACUGAGCCACGAAUCUCUGGAAUUAGUGGUUCAGACAUUUCAUCGAACACCUUUUGGGCGCGGAAAUGUCUGGGCUCAAAUUCCAGUUGAUCAAAAAGCAAUAGGGAUUAAGAACAACUAAUCCAGAAGGGAUCUAUCAAUCAAUACUCAACCACCUAGCAUACUGAGAAUUCUACACUACUCUAACCCAUCCUCAGAAACCUAUUCACUACUCAGACAUCAUUGAAGAGAACAUAAACGUUGAACAGGAUGAAAACAUGAUAACAACAGUGUAAUAGCAAAACAAUAACAGGAUGAACAACAAUAAACAAAAUCAAGAACAAAUACUGAAUACUGAAUAGAUAAAGAGAAAUCCAGAUUACAAAAGGUCUAGAACACAAUGUCUGCGAAAUAAAACUAGAUAAAAACCUCUUCUCGAAAAUGUAAAGUACAUGCUACUUAUAGCAAAAUAUUCGAAAACCCUAAUACUCAAAACGAUGCAGUAUUGGGACAUAUUAAGAACUAUACUCAACCCAGAUGGUCGAGUGAGAGGUCGAGUGAUAUGCUAGAGUCUUCUUUUCUUCCUUGUGCUCGAGUGUCUAGUUGAGUGCGGAAUGAAGAAGACUCUAAAGCUUGCCAUAGAGUAUGUAGUCGAGUGGUGGUGGUGAAGACACUCAACCUGGGGGUUGAAUGAUGUGAUCGAGUGACUGGUCAGGUGGUGGAGGUGAAUACACUCGACCAGGUGGUCGAGUGAGGUGAUCGAGUAUCUCUCGUGGUGGUACUCGGCCAGAGGGUCGAGUGAUGAGAUGAAAUUGUGAACUCCCCUACUCGACCAGGGGGUCGAGUGGUCUGUUGAGGUCUUGAAGCUUCUACUCGACCUCGGGGUCGAGUGGUUUGACAUGAUCAGGUCCGCUUCUUCCAGUUAGCUCGUCAACAGCUCUAAAUCACCUGAAAUCAACACAAAUAUGCAACAUGCAUGCAAACCUAUCCUAAACAUGCAAAGUGAUGACAAAUGAUGAGAAUGGUAUAAAACACUGAUGAUAAGGUGCUAAAGUGAUGACAAAUGGUAUGCUCAAACUUGCAAAAUACACACUUAUCAACAUGAUAGCAACAAAGUAAUAGCAGGAUGAUAAUAGGAUGAACAACUUGGUAAACCAAAUCAAAAGCAAAUACUGAAUACUGAAUAGAUUAAGAGAAAUCCGGAUUACAAAAACGUCAAGAACACAGUGUCUGCGGAAAAUAAAACUUAGGUAAACGAAAAUGUAAAAUACAUGGUACUGAUAGCGAAAUAUUAUGAAACCCUAAUACUCAAAACGACACAAUAUUGGGACGGAUUAAGAACGGUACUCGACCCAGGUUGUCGAGUAAUUUGUCGAGUGAUAAGCUGGAGUCUUCUUCUCUUCCUUGUGCUUGAGUGUUGGUUGAGUACGGAAUGGAGAAGACUCUAAAGCUGGAAGUCGAGUAAGAAGUCGAGUGAUUGAGAUGGUGGUACUCGGCUUGGUGUUAAAGUGAUCGUAGAGUGUGUGAUGAUGGUGGGACUCGGUCGUGUAAUCGAGUGAGUGAUCGAGUGAUUGUGAUGGGGAUGCUCGACCAGGGGGUCGAGUGGUGUGAUCGAGUGAUUGUCAGGUGGUGUGUUGAAGUCGUUAAGCCAUGUACUCGACUAGGUAGGUCGAGUGGUUUGAUAUGAUCAGGUCCGCUUCUUCCAAUUAACUCGCCAAUAGCUCCAAAUAUCCUGAAAGCAACACAAAUAUGCAACAUGCAUGCAAAACUAUCCUAAACAUGCAAAGUGAUGACAAAUGAUGAGAAAUAAUAUAAAAAAAUGGUAAUAUGAUGCAAUAGUGAUAACAAAUGGAUGCUCAAAACAUGUAAAAUGCACACUUAUCAAGUAGAAGAGCUAGAACCGCAACCGGAUUUUGAAAACCCAAGUAGUGUUUCCUUGUUAGAAGAUACAAAGCCCAAGACUCAUACGGACUUCGGUUACACCAUUAAAGCUUUGAGAAGCAAGAAGAAGUUUGGUUUGUGUUUUUCAGUCAAAUAUGACCAGAUGUCAUUUGUAUGAUUGAGUAUAAGAACUCAAACCACAGCCGGAUCUUGAAAGCCCAAAUAGUGUUUCCUUGAUAGAAGAUACAAAGCCAAAUUCUCAUACGAACGUCGGCUACACCAUCAAUGCUUUGAGAAGCAAGAAGAAGCUUGGUUAGUGUUUUGGAGUCAAAUAUGACUUUAUGUCAUGUGUAUGUUUAAGUAUUAGAACUUAAACUACAAACGGAUCCCAAAAGCAAAAUUAGUUUUUCCAUGCUAGAAGAUACAAAGCAAAAUAUUCAUACUGACUUCGACAUCACCAUUAAAGCCUUAGGGAGCAUGAAGAAGCUUGGUUGGUGUUUUGAAGUCAAAUAUGACUUGAUGGCAUGUGUAUGAUUGAGUAUAGGAACUCAACCACAACCGGAUCUUGAAAGCCCAAGUAGUGUUUCCUUUUUAGAAGGUACAAAGACAAAGACUCAUACGGACUUUGGGUACACCAUCAAAACUUUGAGAAGCAAGAAGAAGCUUGGUUAAUGUUUUGGAAUCAAAUAUGACUUGAUGUCAUGUGUAUGAUGGAGUAUAAGGACGAGAAUUGCAACCGGAUCUUAAAAGCCUAAGUAGUGUUUCCUUGUUAGAAGAUACAAAGCCAAUGAAUCAUACGGACUUUCGCUACACCAUCAAAGCUUUGUGAAGCAAGAAGAAGCUUAGUUAGUAUUUUAGAGUCAAAUAUGACUUGAUGUCAUGUGUAUGAUUGAGUAUACGAACUAGAACCUUAACUGGAUCUUAAAACCCAAAGUAGUGUUUCCUUGUUAGAAGAUACAAAGCAAAAGACGCAUGUGGACUUUGGUAACACUAUUAAAGCAUUGAGAAUCAAGAAGAAGCUUGGUUAGUAUUUUGGUGUCAAAUAUGACUAGAUUUCAUGUGUAUGAUUUGAGUAUAAGAACUAGAACUGCAACCCGAUCUUUAAAGCCUAAGUAGUGUUUCCUUGUUAGAAGAUACAAAGCCAAAGACUCAUACGGACUUCAGCUACACCAACAAAGUUUCGAGAAGCAAGAAGAAGCUUGGUUAGUGUUUUGGAGUCAAAUAUGACUUGAUGUCAUGUGUAUGAUUGGGUAUAAGAAUUAUAACCGCAACCGGAUCUUAAAACCUAAGUAGUAUUUAUUUUUUAGAAGAUACAAAGCCAAACAUUCAUACGGGCUUUGGUUACACCAUUAAAGCUUUGAGAAGCAAGAAGAAGCUUGAUUAUUGUUUUAGAGUCAAAUAUGCCUAGAUGGCAUGUGUAUGAUUGAGUACAAGAACUCGAACCACAACUGGAUCUUGAAAGCCAAAGUAGUGUUUCCUUGUUAGAAGAUGCAACGCCAAUUACUCAUACGGACUUCGGCUACACCGUCAAAGCUUUGAGAAGCAAGAAGAAUCUUGGUUUGUGUUUUGGAGUUAAAUAUAAAGUGAUGUGAUGUCUAUGGUUGAAUAUUAGAACUUGAACCGCAAACGGAUCCAAAAAGGAAAAGUAGUGUUUCCAUGCCAGAAAAUACAAAGCCAAAGACUCAUACGGACUUCGACAUCACCAUCAAAGCCUUAGGAAGCCAGAAGAGGCUUGGUUAGUUUUUUGGAGUCAAAUAUGACUAUGAUUGAGUAUAAGAAUUCAAACUGCAACCGGAUCUUGAAUGCCGAAGUAGUGUUUCUUUUUUAGAAGAUACAAAGCCAAAUACUCAUACGGACUUUGGCUACACCAUCGAGAAGCAAGAAGAAGCUUGGUUAGUGUUUUGGAGUCAAAUAUGAAUUGAUGUCCUGUGUAUGAUUAAGUAUAAGACCUAGAUUGGCAACCAGAUCUUGAAAGCCUAAAUAGUGUUUCCUUGUUAGAACAUACAAAGCCAAUGAUUCAUACGGACUUCAUCUACACUAUCAAAGCUUUGGGAAGUAAGAAGAGGCUUAGUUAGUGUUUUAGAGUCAAAUAUGACUUGAUGUAAUGUAUAUGAUUGAGUAUAAGAACUAGAACCACUACCAGAUCUUAAAAGCCUAAGUAGUGUUUCCUUGUUAGAAGAUACAAACCAAAGACUCAUACAGAUUUUGAUUACACCAUUAAAACUUUAAGAAGCAAGAAGAAUCUUGGUUAGUGUUUUGGAGUCAAAUAUGUCCAGACGACAUGUGUAUGAUUUAGUAUAAGAACUCGAACUACAACCUAAUCUUGAAAGCCCAAAUAGUGUUUCCUUGUUAGAACAUACAAAGCCAAUGACUCAUACGAAUUUCAGCUACACUAUCAAAGCUUUGAGAAGCAAGAAGAGGCUUAGUUAGUGUUUUAGAGUCAAAUAUGACUUGAUGUCAUGUGUAUGGUUAAGUAUUUGGACUAGAAAUGGAAACUGAUAUGUCUAUAAUUUGCAUGUUUUCAGUGUCCAUUCAUCAUCGUUUUGAGUCCAGUUUCGUAUCAUUCAUCACUGUUUUAUAUCAUUUCUUAUCAUUCUUGCAUACUUUGCAUGAUUAGGAUAGCUUUGCAUACAUAUUGCAUUUAUGAGUUGUUUUAGGUGAUUUGGAGCUGUUUGCGAGCAAAUUGGAAGAAACGAGCCGGAACCAGAAGACAUACUCGACCCCCAGGUCGAGUGACUUCGGAGCCAUUCUUCCCACCUACUCGACCACUUGACAACACUCGACCGUUCACUCUACCACAUCACUCGACCCCAUGGUCGAGUAUCACUUCGCCACACCACCUUACAACACUCGACCGUUCACUCUACCACAUCACUCGACCCCAUGGUCGAGUAUCACUUCGCCACACCAUCACCAUCACUCGACCGGACACUCGAUCACGUCUUCACAGUCUACUCAAAUCCGCACUCAACCAGACAAGCUGAGCACAAGGAAGAGAAGAGGAGAAGACAAAGUGUUUGGAAGCGGCCUGGACCUCCAUCGGAUCACGAAGCCCGUCUCGGCCCAUUAUCUUUCUAUGGGCCGGGUAAUUAGGUUAUUGGCCCGUUUACCAUCAUUUUAUUUUGUUUUGUAUAAAUAGAUGUCUUAGGGUUCUGUCCUGAGACAUCCAGUCGACAUUGAGUUUUUGCUUCAGUUUUAUUUUCUGUUUUACUCUGCUGCGCCGCUUUUGCUUCUGCAACCUGUAAUUCGAGAUUUUUCCAAGUUAUUCAGAUUCCGCAUUUGAUUUCAUCUGUCAUCUUGUUUCUAUACUCUUUAUCUCUUUACUUAUGCAAUAUUAUCGUUUACCUGCGUUUAUGUCUUUAAGCAUUUUGUCUGAGUAGUGACUUAGAAUUCUUAGGGAUGGGAUAGAGUAGUUGUGGAAUCCGUAGUCUGUAGAAUGGUUAAGUUUUAGAAUUGAUUGAAUCCCUUCAGGACUAGUUGCGUUUACUGCUUAUUUCUUUAUGAUCAACUGGAAUUCAACCCAAGCAUUCCCGCACCCAGAAGGUGUUCGAUGGAAUGUUCGAUCGACUAGUUCCUGAGAUAUUCGUCUCUAUCCCAAGGGAUUGGCCGAUUAGAGCGUUUAUUGACUUUAUAAGUCUGUUCUUAUUGCCUGCAUAGUUAGAUUCCGUUAAUGGGAAUUAGUCUGGGCUAGCUUUGCUUGAGGAUUUCUAUCACGGGAGUGAAUUAAUCUGUUGUUGAACCUGUUGUCUAGGGAUAGCUUGAUUGCGCUUGUUAACCAUUCGAAUAGGCUAGGAUACCACUCUACUCGAUUACCCUAUCCUUAGGAAUUUCUCGUCUAUCUUAUUUCUCUGUUUUAUUGUUAUCGCUUAAUCGUUGUCAUUGCCUGUUUCUUAGUUUUUGCAAUUACUCGACCAACUUACUCGACCACACCCAGUGUCUGGCAACAGACUGUGCAGUCGAGUGCAGUUGUUUCAUUUCCUGUCUGUUACUCGACCAGUAUACUCGACCACACCCAGUGUCUAGCAACAGACUGUGCAGUCGAGUAUAUCUGUUUCAUAUCCUGCCUGUUACUCGACCACAUCCUACUCCUGGCAUUAGCCUGUUGUGGUCGAGUGAUUUUAGUAAUUCUGUUAUUCUUUCUGUUUUCUGCAUGUUCACUUAGGACUGUUAGAAACCCCAAAACUGUUAUUGCUUGGCUUGACUUAGUGACUUCUGAUCACAUCUCAUUUGUCUGCAUCACACCCAUUUGGAUUGACACCUAAAAUACUACAAUGACAUGAUAGGUGUUUUAGGAUAAUUGACCAUAAAAACCUAUUAUCAAUUUGGCGCUGUUAUCUUUUUCAUUUUUUCUGAAAGUUACUAACUUUGUGUUUUUUCUGUUUGUCUGUUUUGAUUUAGGUACUACGAUACCAGCUUUACAAGUUGGUACUCGUUGUAUGCAAAUACGGUCACGAGGAAAUCAGAAUCUCCUGUUCAACGAUAACAUCGACCGUAUUGCACGCCAACUCAGAACACAGACAGAAACAGAGACAAUGGCUGCAGUUGUUGAUGAGCAGGUGCAACCAAACAACAUAGGUGCAGGCGAUGCACCACGCAACCAGAAUCAGCGUAAUGGCAUCGUGCCUCCACCUGUGCAGAACAACAACUUUGAGAUCAAGAGCGGUCUCAUUGCCAUGGUUCAGAGCAACAAGUUCCACGGCCUCCCUAUGGAGGAUCCACUCGAUCACCUGGACGAGUUUGAUAGGCUCUACAGCCUAACAAAGAUCAAUGGAGUUAGUGAGGAUGGUUUCAAGCUCAGAUUGUUUCCAUUCUCUCUUGGAGACAAAGCACAUCAGUGGGAAAAGUCACUUCCUCAAGGCUCUAUCACCUCCUGGAAUGACUGCAAGAAAGCCUUCUUGGCUAAGUUUUUCUCAAACUCCAGGACUGCGAGACUAAGGAAUGAUAUCUCCAGUUUCACUCAAACGAAUAAUGAGACUUUCUGUGAAGCAUGGGAGCGCUUCAAAGGUUAUCAGACGCAAUGUCCUCAUCAUGGUUUCUCCAAAGCUUCACUUCUCAGCACUCUCUAUAGAGGUGUCCUUCCCAAGAUCAGAAUGCUUCUUGAUACCGCUUCCAACGGGAACUUCCUCAACAAAGACGUUGAAGAAGGAUGAGAGCUGGUAGAGAACUUAGCUCAGUCGGAUGGCAACUAUAAUGAAGAUUAUGACAGAAGCAUCCGCACCAGCUCUGAUUCUGAUGAGAAGCACCGCAGGGAAAUGAAAGCCAUGAAUGACAAACUGGACAAGCUACUCCUUGUGCAACAAAAGCACAUUCAUUUUCUGGGUGAUGAUGAGACAGUCCAAGUGCAGAACCAAGGAGGUCAGCUAUGUGCAGAACCAAGGAGGUUACAACAAAGGUUUCAACAACUUCAAGCAGAGCCAUCCAAAUCUGUCUUACAGGAGUACAAAUGUUGCAAACCCGCAUGACCAAGUCUACCCUUCACAGCAGCAAAAUCAACCCAAGCCCUUUGUUCAUACAACCAAGGUCAGGGGUAUGUUCCUAAGCCGCAGUAUCAGGGCAACUAUCAGCAGCAACUUCCACCACCUAGGUUCACACACCAGCAACAACAACUAGCUUCAACAACUCCAGAUUCAGACUUGAAGAACAUGUUACAGCAGAUUCUCUAGGGACAAGCUGCAGGUGCAAUGGAUCUUGCCAAAAAGAUGGCAAAAAUCCACAACAAGGUUGAUUGUACUUUCAAUGAUCUGAAUAUCAAACUUGAGGCACUUACCUCUAAGGUCAGAUACAUGGAAGGACAAACAGCGUCAACUUCUGCUCCAAAAGUAACAGGACUUCCAGGAAAGUCAAUACAGAACCCGAAGGAAUACGCCACCGCUCACGCUAUCACCAUCUGUCAUGAUCGAGAGCUGCCUACUCGACAUGUUUCCACAUCAAUCACCGAGGACAGUGAUGUUCAGGACGGGGAGGCUUCUACUCAGAUUGAAAUUUCAGUGGUUGGACUCGACCAUUCAGCUGGAUCCCGUUUUCAAACCGAGUCCAACCUAGACGAGAAAGCAGCCAUCAUUGAGAGGAUGGUAAAACGAUUCAAGCCAGCACCAUUACCUUCACGUGCUCUUCCAUAGAAAAUUCAGGAAAGCAUGUAUAGAAAGAUACAAUUCUCUUGCAGAGAAGCAGCUUGAUGAGAUGGAAACGGCUUGAUGAGAUGGAAGCGGUGAUGCCUCUAAUAGAAGUUCUCAACCUAAUCCCGGAUCCUCACAAAGAUGUGAGAAAGUCAAUUCUGGAAAGGAUCAAGAUUCAUCAAGAUUCAGAAGACGAAUGUGAUGCUAUUCCGUUUAGGACCACUGCUAAGAGGAGUGUUCAAGAAAAACAGGAAGAUCCAGGAACUUUCACUCUACCAUGUUUCAUUGGUCAAUUGGUUUUCAGCCAUUGUCUUUGUGAUUUGGGAGCUUCAGUAAGCUUAAUGCCACUCUCCGUGGCAAGGAAGCUGGAAUUCACUCAGUACAGGCCUUGCGACCUGACUUUGAUCCUUGCUGAUAGGUCUUCAAGAAAACCCUUUGACCUUCUACAAGAUCUGCCAGUAAUGAUUAAUGGAGUGGAAGUGCCUACGGAUUUCGUUGUUCUUGAUAUGGAAGCAGAACCUAAGGAUCCUCUAAUCCUAGGAAGACCUUUCUUAGCCUCAGUGGAAGCGAUGAUAGAUGUCAGAGAUGGGAGAAUAAGUCUUAACCUUGGGAAGCACAUCAAGAUGCAGUUUGACAUCAACGAAACUUCGCAAAGGUCAGCUGUAGAAGAAAAGAUCAGGGCUCAACCUCAACGUUCGAAUUCAAUCACCAGACCAAGCACAGCCUCUACACCUAACUUGCGAGAUCUCAAAAAGAAAUCUGAUGAGCAAGAAGAGACCAUAGAGAAGCUAGCUCAGACAGUUGAGGAACUUAAGAGUAAACUGGAUCAUAUGCAAGAGAUAGCUCAAUCCAAAUGCGGGAAUAACACUAUCCCGAGAAAAAAGAUUACUUCAAGAUGGUCUAAGGAGAUAGAUUAUCCACCAGAAGAGAAAGAGGCCUAUUUCGAGGAAAGAAGAAUUGAGUAUUCUGCUACUCAUCUCUCAAGAGAGGAUGCUGAAUAUGAUGAUGAGAUCAGAGAGGACUAUGAAGAUCCUCUCUAUCACCCAUUUUCUUCUUAAUGAGUGUGAGGAGUCAAGCUAGAGACUUUAAACAAGCUCACUUGGGAGGAAUUCCCAAGACUGUUUCUGUAAAUAAAACUUUUAUUUUCUUGUUAUUUUUGAUUUGUUUUUGGUUGUGUUUGUGAUUCUCAGGAACAGAGAAACAGCGUGGAGGUAGAGUAAAAAUUUAAAAAUUUUACUCUACAGAGCAACAGGAGAACGAGUAUGUCAGAAAUUCAAGAGUUUGAAAAACUUUUGUUGCACUAAGAGGCCAUGAGGUCGAGUAAGUUUGGUCGAGUAUUAGUGAUGAUUUUAAAAAAACCCAAAAUUUUUAAAUCAUAUCUAUACUCGACCAACAGAAGCUACAGAGACUUGCAGGGAGUUUAACAAGUUUACAGAGGAUUACAGAAGGUUCUAGUCAACAGAGAACAGCGCUUCAGGACAAACAGACAGAGCGUGGCCAACCACCUCUCACCUUUGUUCCCCCACGCGUUUUUAGAGAUAACAAAAUCUCUUCCCUCUUUCCCAACCACUCGAUCUCACUCUAUCCCUAUCCUCUCCCACCGACAUCAUCUCUCUCCCUCUCCAAACACUCGACCAAGAAGAUUCACUCUACCUCACGUUUCUCACUCGACCAAACCUCACCAUCUCUCUUCCUCUCCAAGCACUUGACCGCACCAUCACACUCGACCUCACCGUUCACUCGAUCUCUCCCCUCCGGCUUCACCAUCUCUCGCUGCUUUGUCACCCUCUCACUCGACCAAACCUCACUCGUCAUCUCUCGCACCGCCUCCCAUUUACUCGAUUGCAACGCCCUCCUCUCCAUCCGCCGCUUUCUCGACCUCGUCGUCCCAGCUCUCACUGCUCACGCCUCCGCCCUCUCUCUCUCAUUCACUCGACGACGGGACAGGUUUCAUCUUCACUCAACCGCUACUCGACUUCUUUCACUCGACCGCAUCGCAAUUUGGACAAAGAGGCUCUUCAUUCGAUUUUCGAUAAACGGCCAGAGUUUCUCUCUCUCGUUCUCGCAAGCUAACUCGACUUCGCCGGAGCUUCUCGUCGUUCACUCGACCACUCCGCCCUUCACUCCGCCGGACUCUCACCGUCGCCUCCUUUUCACUCGAUCUCGCCGCUCCAACUUCAACAUUCCUCACUCGAUCUCGCCUCCCAUUCACUCGACCGCAAGAGCACCUCAGCCUCUACUUCGAUCUCUUUCUCUCAACUCUCCGUUCUCACCGUUCACUCGACCUCGCCAUUCACUUCGCCUCCGUUCAUCUCUUCACUCGACCGCUCCUCAAACCGCCACCGUCUUCUCUCCAUUCGACAUUUACUCGGCCACACAGUCACCGUUUCUCAUUCUCUUCCACUCGACCACAAAAUUUGAACACACAAUUUGACUAUACUCGACCGGUUACUCGACCGUGAACUUGAUUGGUUUAGUGUUUGUGUUUAUUUGGACUAACAUAUUGAUAUUUGGUUUUAAGUUACAUUAUUUUUCAGGAAAUCAAUAUGAGUAACUACAGUGGCGAAUCCUCCAUGGAUGCAGAUUACAACGUCGAUGAAGCUGAAUCUUGGUCAACUGGACCAGAGAGAGAGCGACAGGCUUAUGAGAGCUUUAGAGCUGAGACCCAACGCUCAGUAGCUCGACGCAAUGAGAAGAGAGCUGAGAUUGCUAGAGAAAGAGAGCAAUGACCAGCAGAUAUGAGUUGAUCGACGAAGAUAUUGACGUCGAGUAUGAGCCUGAGUCAUGGCACAGAGAAACGAAGCUGUUGAACAAGCCUGAUGAACGACUUCUGGGGAACGAGGUACCCCUGUUAUGAGACUUUAGCAUAGCUGGGGCUACUGGAGGACGUACAUCACUUAUUCGAGAAGUGCCAUCUGGAGACGCUGAUGUCUUACCCGUACGUCGCUUACAAGAAGGAAACAAUAGAGUUUCUCUUCACUCUGCAAGUGGAGAUGUAUCAGGGACUUACAGCAGAUGAGCUGGAGAGUGAAGGGUUGGGGUUCUUGACUUUUUCAGUGAACGAGCAGCGUUACCAGCUAUCUAUCAAGAGCUUGGAAGGAUUAUUUGGUUUUCCCAGUGGAAAGGGAACUAAACCCAAGUUCGAGAGGGAAGAGUUGAAGGAUUUGUGGUUAACCAUUGGGAACGAUUUGGCGCUCAACUUUGCAAGGUCUAAGAGCAACCAGAUUCGUAGCCCUGUGAUCCGCUACUAUCAGCGCUCAGUAGCGAAUGUUCUGUACCCCAGGGAAUCUACAGGCACCGUGUUUAACACAGACAUGGAGAUGAUUGAUUCUCCACUCAAGGGCAUUCUCCGGAGAACAAAGGGGAAGAAGGUCCUAAAGGGCGACCUUAAUGAUGCACCACCGGUUAUGCUUCUGUUGAUCCACCUAUGUGGAUACAGGAAGUGGGCGCACACCAACGGGAAGAAGAAGGUGCGAGGAGCCCUUUGUGUAGGUGGCGUUGUGACACCGAUUCUGAUUGCAUGUGGUGUACCUCUCACGUCUCCAAGGUUUGAUCCGAGGAUGAUGGAUUUAGAUCACUUGCGUUGUUGUGAGUUUCUGGAGUAUGAUAUGGUUGGCGAUUUCUAUCGCUACAAAUUCGAGCACUCCCUGAUCCGAACAGCCAACAUUUUGCUUCCCUGCAUCGAGGCCACGACCAUACUUCAGGGUAGGAACAUUGACUUCAAACCUGCACGUGAUUACCUCUACUUUGAGAGCGCUCCACCGACUGAUGAUAAUGUCCCUACGACGGAAGCUAUAGAGGAUGAUAUUGCUGAGACGGAUGAGGAUAGGGAGGAGGAGUACGAUACGAGCAUGUAUCAUUUCAGAGAGCACGUACCUCCAGCGCGGGAGAGCAAGAGCUUGAGUGAAGCUCACAGAAACAACAGUAAGUUGCAGAGGUGGUGCAAGAAACAAGAUAGGCUACUCAUCAAGUGCUUCAAAGCCAUCACGUUUCUGACAGACAAGCUUAGCUGCUUCUCUUCUACCACAGCUAUUCCGCAGGGAGAGCGUCCUCAGGACAUGCCUUCGAGGAGAUAUGACGCGCCAGGGCCAAGUCAUCACAGGCCUGAGCCAAGUCACCACAAGCCUGAGCCUAGUGACCGAGUAGUCCCACCAGUCCCUGCAAGGCAUUCAUCAUUCGAGCCUCGGGAGCUCGGGAGAAAGAAGAAGGCUGCACUCGCUCGGUCUGGCAGCAGGAGUACACGACUUCUCCAGUCCCGUAGCUUACGCGACCGCGGUGCUGGCCGCAGCAGAAGAAGAGAGGUCGAGUAUCAUCAGAGCGGUGCUGGCCGCGACGAAGGAGCAGAGGUCGAGUACCCCCAGGGGGAAGCUGAGACACAGCAGGGAGAUUCUUCGAUGGCCUGGGAGCAAUCACAGGCAGCUAUUGGCGACCAACUUCGCUCCUUCUUCCACUGAGGUAUGCACCUCACUCCACCAUUGUAAUAUACCAUCUCUUGUUUUUAUUUUGUUUUUGUGAUGUGUUUUGUCCUAAGUACUCUCUUCCAAAUUUGGUCACACAGUGGACUGUGUGAUUUAAGUUUGGGGGAGGGCUCAGAAAGUGUGUAUUGCAUUGUAUAUAAUCUUGAGUCUGCAUUCAUCUAAGGCAUAGAAAAGAACCAAAAAAAUUGAAAAAUUUCAGAAAAUGAUUUCACAAAAAUAGAGUGUUCAUGUAGUUGCAUUGCAUUUAGGAUCGAGUCUAGAGUGUUUCGUUUAGGAUUGUUGCAUAUGCAUAGGGGAUAAUGAUGAGAUAGCCUUGUAAGCAUUUUGGUUCACCAGAUAAGCUCAGUGCCCUCGUUGUUAGUUGUUUGAUGCGUUGUCAUUGAAAUUGAAGUAAAACUGCACCAUGCCUAGAUUGCUCUACUCGACCACACUGUUAGGAUCUGAUAUCAUUCCCUAUCAAUUUGAACUUGAAUCUGAUUUAGAAUUAUCAUGUCUUGGCAUCGAAUUUGAACUCAUGGAUACCCUAAAAUACUUGGAUUUUCUUACUCCUUUUAACCACUCUUGUUGAUCCAAAUAGCUGACUCUCCUUAUUAGAGCAGUUAACCCGAACCCAAACAUGAACUUUCUUUCAAGCCCUAUAUCACUUGUGAGUGUUUGUGAGGUCUUAUUUCGAUUGAGCUUGGUAAAAAGUGUUAGCUUCGUAACGACAGAGAUAGUGUCUCAUGUAGUUCUAGUUCGCGUUCUUCGGACUGGAUAGGACUAGGUGGGCGCUUAUAUCAUGGGUUGGGAUGUCUUUAAAAGAAAAGGGUGAAUUUAUUGUUGAUAAGGAAAGGGAAAGAAUUCUAGGGGAAGUAAGCUAAAGAAGUUAGAAAAAAAUCUAGUAAAGGUUUUGGGAAUGUUAAAGAAAAGAAUGAGGUUCUUGUUAGCUAAAGAAGAAGGGUUAAAAGCCUUUGGUUUUAAAGAUUUAAAACAGGAACCUUAGUUGUUAAAGAAAUCCAAAUCCGCUAGAUGUAUCAGAGUGUUGAGAAAGCUUCUCCUAGAGUUAAGAGAAAAUAAAAGAAUGAUAUGAAAAAGAGUUUGAAAGAUUCAUGAGUGCAAAUGGUAGAGUUAAGUUGGGACAGGAGUUGGGAUUACCAUUAGAACUUCAUUGCUAUACUCUGGGUAGAUGGGAUCUUAUCUCUGUAUGCAUAACUUGGGACUUACCUUUAGCAUUCUACUAAAGCUCAAUCAUUCUUGAGGGAUCCCCUGUUACUUAAGCCUAUUCUGUAAGGGACCAUCUUUGUCUCUUGACCUUCACCUUAGCCAAAUGAGUUCAUUGAUGAUGCAUUGCUUGAUUCACGUUCCAGAACUAAUGAAUGUUAAAGGGAUUGGUAGAUUUGAAAGCAUGUGUAGGUCGAGUAUAAGAGACGGAUUGAUUGAUAACAAGGCAUGGCUAACGUUUUUGAGUAAAAUUCAAUCAUAUCGCAUCUUAGAACUACCAAUUUGGACAUUGAUUUUAUUUGCUCUAACAUAUGCUUUGGUUCUGAGUCCCCGCCUUCAAACCUCUCCUUCAACUAUGUCUUCUUAUUUGCUUGAGGGCAAGCAAAGACUAAGUUUGGGGGAGUUGAUAUGUCUAUAAUUUGCAUGUUUUCAGUGUCCAUUCAUCAUCGUUUUGAGUCCAGUUUCGUAUCAUUCAUCACUAUUUUAUAUCAUUUCUCAUCAUUCUUGCAUACUUUGCAUGAUUAGGAUAACUUUGCAUACAUAUUGCAUUUCUGAGUUGUUUUCAGGUGAUUUGGAGCUGUUUGCGAGCAAAUUGGAAGAAACGAGCCAGAACCAGAAGACAUACUCGACCCCCAGGUCGAGUGACUUUGGAGUCAUUCUUCCCACCUACUCGACCACUUGGUCGAGUAUCCUCAGCUCAGGCUACUCAAUGACACUACUCGAUCCCCUGGUCGAGUAUCACUUCGCCACACCACCUGACAACACUCGACCGUUCACUCUACCACAUCACUCGACCCCAUGGUCGAGUAUCACUUCGCCACACCACCUGACAACACUCGACCGUUCACUCUACCACAUCACUCGACCCCAUGGUCGAGUAUCACUUCGCCACACCAUCACCAUCACUCGACCGGACACUCGAUCACGUCUUCACAGUCUACUCAAAUCCGCACUCAACCAGACAAGCUGAGCACAAGGAAGAGAAGAGGAGAAGACAAAGUGUUUAGAAGCGGCUUGGACCUCCAUCGGAUCACGAAGCCCAUCUCGGCCCAUUAUCUUUCUAUGGGCCGGGUAAUUAGGUUAUUGGCCUGUUUACCAUCAUUUUAUUUUGUUUUGUAUUAAUAGAUGUCUUAGGGUUCUGUCCUGAGACAUCCAGUCGACAUUGAGUUUUUGCUUCAGUUUUAUUUCUGUUUUACUUUGCUGCGCCGCUUUUGCUUCUACAACCUGUAAUUCGAGACUUUUCCAAGUUAUUCAGAUUCCGCUUUUGAUUUCAUCUGUCAUCUUGUUUCUAUACUCUUUAUCUCUUUACUUAUGCAAUAUUAUCGUUUACCUGCGUUUAUGUCUUUAAGCAUGUUGUCUGAGUAGUGACUUAGAAUUAUUAGGGAUGGGAUAGAGUAGUUGUGGAAUCCGUAGUCUGUAGAAUGGUUAAGUUUUAGAAUUGAUUGUAUCCCUUUAGAACUAGUUGUGUUUACUGCUUAUUUUUUUCUGAUCAACUGGAAUUCGAUCCCAAGCAUUCCCGCACCCAGAAGGUGUUCGAUGGAAUGCUUGAUCCACUAGUUCCUGAGAUAUGCGUCUCUAUCCCAAGGGAUUGGCCGUUUAGAGCGUUUAUUGACUUUAUCAGUCUGUUCUUAUUGCUUGCAUAGUUAGAUUCCGUUAAUGGGAAUUAGUCUAGGCUAGCUUUGCUUGAGGAUUUCUAUCACGGGAGUGAAUUAAUCUGUUGUUGAACCUGUUGUCUAGGGAUAGCUUGAUUGCGCUUGUUAACCAUUCUAAUAGGCUAGGAUACCACUCUACUCGAUUACCCCAUCCUUAGGAGUUUCUUGUCUAUCUUAUUUCUCUGUUUUAUCGUUAUCGCUUAAUCGUUCUCAUUGCCUGUUUCUUAGUUUUUGUAAUUACUCGACCAACAUACUCGACCACACCCAGUGUCUGGCAACAGACUGUGCAGUGGAGUGCAGUUGUUUCAUUUCCUGUUUGUUACUCGACCAGUAUACUCGACCACACCUAGUGUCUGGCAACAGACUGUGCAGUCGAGUAUAUCUGUUUCAUAUCCUGCCUGUUACUCGACCACAUCCUACUCCUGGCAUCAGCCUGUUGUGGUCGAGUGAUUUUAGUAAUUCUGUUAUUGUUUCUGUUUUCUACAUGUUCACUUAGGACUGUUAGAAACCCCAAAACCGUUAUUGAUUGGCUUGACUUAGUGACUUCUCAUCACAUCUCAUUUGUCUGCAUCACACCCAUUUGGAUUGACACCUAAAAUACUACAAUGACAUGAUUGGUGUUUUAGGAUAAUUGACCAUAAAAACCUAUUAUCAGAAACUUAUCCCAAAAUUUAAAGUAGUGUUUCCAUGCUAGAAGAUACAAAGCAAAAGAUUCAUAAGGACUUCGACAUCACCAUCAAAGCCUUAGGAAGCAUGAAGAAGCUUGGUUAUUGUUUUGGAGACAAAUAUGACUAGAUGACAUGUGUAUGAUUGAGUAUAAGAACUCGAACCGCAACCGGAUCUUGAAAGUCCAAGUAGUGUUUCCUUAUUAGAAGGUACAAAGACAAAGACUCAUACGGACUUUGGGUACACCAUCAAAACUUUGGGAAGCAAGAAGAAGCCUGGUUAUUGUUUUGGAGUCAAAUAUGACUUGAUGUCAUGUGUAUGAUGGAGUAUCAGGACAAGAAUUGCAAUCGGAUCUUUAAAGCCUAAGUAGUGUUUCCUUGUUAGAAGAUACAAGCCAAUGAAUCAUACGGACUUUAGCUACACCAUCAAAGCUUUGUGAAGCAAGAAGAAGCUUAGUUAGUGUUUUAGAGUCAAAUAUGACUUGAUGUCAUGUGUAUGAUUGAGUAUACGAACUAGAACCACAACCGGAUCUUAAAACCCAAAUUAGUGUUUCCUUGUUAGAAGAUACAAAGCUAAAGACUCAUGUGGACUUUGGUAAUACUAUUAAAGCGUUGAGAAUCAAUAAGAAGCUUGGUUAGUGUUUUGGAGUCAAAUAUGACUAGAUGUCAUGUGUAUGAUUGAGUAUAAAAACUGGAACUGCAACCCGAUCUUAAAACCUAGUUAGUGUUUCCCUUUUAGAAGAUACAAAGCCAAAGACUCAUACGGACUUCAGCUACACCAACAAAGCUUUGAGAAGCAAGAAGAAACUUGGUUAGUGUUUUCGAGUCAAAUAUGACUUGAUGUCAUGUGUAUGAUUGGGUAUAAGAACUAGAACCGCAACCGGAUCUUAAAAGCCUAAGUAGUAUUUAGAAGAUACAAAGCCAAACAUUCAUACGGACUUUGGUUACACCAUUAAAGCUUUGUGAAGCAAGAAGAAGCUUUGUUAGUGUUUUGGAGUCAAAUAUGACUAGAUGUCAUGUGUAUGAUUGAGUAUAAAAACUGGAACUGCAACCCGAUCUUAAAAGCCUAGUUAGUGUUUCCUUGUUAGAAGAUACAAAUCCAAAAACUCAUACGGACUUCAGCUACACCAACAAAGCUUUGCGAAGCAAGAAGAAACUUGGUUAGUGUUUUCGAGUCAAAUAUGACUUGAUGUCAUGUGUAUGAUUGGGUAUAAGAACUAGAACCGCAACCGGAUCUUAAAAGCCUAAGUAGUAUUUGUUUUUUAGAAGAUACAAAGCCAAACAUUCAUACGGACUUUGGUUACACCAUUAAAGCUUUGAGAAGCAAGAAAAAGCUUGGUUAUUGUUUUGGAGUCAAAUAUGCCUAGAUGUCAUGUGUAUGAUUGAGUACAAGAACUCGAACCGCAACUGGAUCUUGAAAGCCCAAGUAGUGUUUCCUUGUUAGAAGAUACAACGCCAAUGACUCAUACGGAUUUCGGCUACACCAUCAAAUCUUUGAGAAGGAACAAGAAUCUUGGUUUGUGUUUUGGAGUUAGAUAUAAAUUGAUGUCAUGUCUAUGGUUGAGUAUUAGAACUUGAACCGCAAACGGAUCCGAAAAGGAAAAGUAGAGUUUCCAUGCGAGAAGAUACAAAGCCAAAGACUCAUACGGACUUCGACAUCACCAUCAACGCCUUAGGAAGCCAGAAGAAGCUUGGUUAGCUUUUUGGAGUCAAAUAUGACUAGAUGACAUGUGUAUGAUUGAGUAUAAAAACUCAAAUCGCAACCGGAUCUUGAAAGCCCAACUAGUGUUUGUUUGUUAGAAGAUACAAAGCCAAAUACUCAUACGGACUUUGGCUACACUAUCAAAGCUUUGAAAAGCAAGAAGAGGCUUAGUUAGUGUUUUAGAGUCAAAUAUGACUUGAUGUCAUGUGUAUUAUUGAGUAUAAGAACUAGAACCACAACCGGAUCUUAAAAGCCUAAGUAGUGUUUCCUUGUUAGAAGAUACAAAGCCAAUAAAUCAUGCGGACUUUAGCUACACCAUCAAAGCUUUGUGAAGCAAGAAGAAGCUUAGUUAGUGUUUUAGAGUCAAAUAUGACUUGAUGUCAUGUGUAUGAUUGAGUAUAACUAGAACCACAACCGGAUCUUAAAACCCAAAGUAGUGUUUCUUUGUUAGAAGAUACAAAGCUAAAGAUUGUUGUGGACUUUGGUAACACUAUUAAAGCGUUGGGAAUCAAGAAGAAGCUUGGUUAGUGUUUUGGAGUCAAAUAUGACUAGAUUUCAUGUGUAUGAUUGAGUAUAAAAACUAGAACUGUAACCCGAUCUUAAAAUCCUAAGUAGUGUUUCCUUGUUAGAAGAUACAAAGCCAAAGACUCAUACGGACUUCAGCUACACCAACAAUGCUUUGAGAAGAAAGAAGAAGCUUGGUUAGUUUUUUGGAAUCAAAUAUGACUUGAUUUCAUGUUUUUGAUUGGGUAUAAGAAGUAGAACCGCAACCGGAUCUUAAAAGCCUAAGUAGUAUUUCUUUUUUAGAAGAUACUCUAGUUUAGAGAUGUGUUUCUAGUUUAGAGAUGUGUUUAAGAACUCAAAGUAAAGAAUAACUCUCUUUAAUCUCUUUAGGAAAAUUACUCAAAACCUAAAGCUAUUGAUCUCUUCACAAUCUCUAAAAACCCAUAAGGUUAACCACAACUUGGUAACUCUUAUAUAGAGAUCAAUAGAUAAUUCUAGAAUAAACAUUUAGAUUAAUAUUAGAUAACUCCUAAUAAUAUCUUUAGGUAAUGAUAUGUCUAUAAUUUGCAUGUUUUACACAUCUUUUUAUCACCAUUUUGAGUCUAGUUUCAUCCAUCUUUCAUAGCAUUUGAUAAUAGGUUUUUAAUUAAUUAAACCUAAAGCACUAUCAUGUCGUUGUAAUACUGAAGGUUGUCAAUCCAAAUGGGUGUGAUGCUAACAAUCAAGAUGUGAUCAGAAGUCACUAAGUCAAGCCAAGCAAUAACAGGUUGUGGUGUGUUCUAGCAGUUCUAAGUGAACAUGGAGAAAAUAGAAAUUCAAGCAGAAACAGUAAAACACUCGACCAACACAGCUCUUUGCAGAGCACUGGGUGAGGUCGAGUGACAGGUCGAGUAACAGACAGAAAAUAAAAUACAGAUACUCGACUGCACAGUCUGUUACCAGACAAUUGGGUGGUCGAGUAACAAGAAAGAACUGCAGAAAUUACGCGACAGAUAACAAGAUGCAGUAAAUAACAGUGGAGUAAACACAGAAUUCAAUCAGAUAAAGAAUUCCUGAGGAUGGGGUAAUUGAGUAGUUUCGUUUCCUCAGUUUACAGGUGAUUGACAUGCUCAAUAAAUUAACCCUAGACAACAAGUUCAUUAACCAAAUCUAAGUGCCACCGCAACAGAGACUCUCAAGUUAACCUAGUCCCAGACUCAAUCACCAUUGACGAGAGAUAACCUAACAGGCAUUACGAAUCAACAAGUUAAAGCCAAAACGCUCCUUGCAACCAAUACCUUGGUACAGGGUCACGAAACUCUGGAAUUAGUGGUUCAGACAUUUCAUCGAACACCUUUUGGGCGCGGAAAUGUCUGGGCUCAAAUUCCAGUUGAUCAGAAAGCAAUAGGGAUUAAGAACAACUAAUCCAGAAGGGAUAUAUCAACCAAUACUCAAUCACCUAGCAUAUUGAGAAUUCUACACUACUCUAACCCAUCCUCAGAAACCUAUUCACUACUCAGACAUCAUAACAGUAAGCAUAAACGUUGAACAAGUUGAAAACAUGAUAACAACUGUGUAACAACAAGAUGAUAACAGAAUGAACAACAGUAAACGAAAUCAAGAACAAAAGCUGAAUACUGAAUACUAAAUAGAUAAAGAGAAAUCUGGAUUACAAAAGGUCUAGAACACAAGGUCUACGGAAUAAAACUAGAUAAAAACUUGUCUGCCAAAAUGUGAAGUACAUGCUACUUACAGCCAAAUAUUCCGAAACCCUAAUACUUAAAACGACGCAGUAUUGGGACGGAUUAAGAACUGUACUCGACCCAUGUGGUCGAGUGGGAGGUCGAGUGAAUAGCUGGAGUCUUCUUUUCUUCCUUGUGCUCGAGUGUCUGGUUGAGUGCGGAAUGAAGAAGGCUCUGAAGCUUGUCAUCGAGUAUGUAGUCGAGUGGUGGUGAUGGUGAUACUCGACUUCCACGUAGAGUGAAGAGGUCAAGUAGUGGUCUGGCAAUGAAGGUGAAGACACUCGGCCUCAGGGUCGAGUGACGUGAUCGAGUGAUGGUCAGGUGAUGGGAUGAAGACACUCGACCUCGUGGUCGAGUGAUGUGGUGAAGUAGUGAUGUCCUCUACUCGACCAGGGGGUCGAGUGAUCUGUUGAGAUCUUGAAGCUCCUAAUCGACCUCGGGGUCAAGUCGUUUGAUAUGAUCAGGCCCGCUUCUUCCAGAUAGCUUGUCAACAGCUCCAAAUCACCUGAAAUCAACGCAAAUAUGCAACAUGCAUGCAAAUCUAUCCAAAAAUUGUAAAGUGAUGACAAAUGAUGAGAAAUUGUAUAAAACAGUGAUGAUAUGAUGCUAAAGUGAUGACAAAUGGAUGCUCAAAACAUGCAAAAUACACACUUAUCAGCAUUCACCAUCAUUUUCAUACAUUUUGCAUCUUAAGUCGAGUCUAGGACUAGUCUUGCAUACAUUCUGCAUUCUGGAGUUGUUUCAGGUGUUUUGGAGCUAUUGGUGCUCAGAAAGAGGGAAAACAAAACAGAAAGUCACACUUCCACCAAACAUACUCGAUCACCAGUAGCAGAGAGGGAAGCAGUCAGCUCAGUAGUCCAUCCAGACACUUCUACUCGAUCACAGAGGAGACCAGGCAGUCCAUUCUGCCAGAUAUACUCGACCGUAGAGGAGAGGAGGCAGUCCAUUCUGCAAUUCUACUCUAUCGCAGAGGCAACCAUGCAGUCCACUUUGCCAGUCCACCAGUUAUACUCGAUCGCAGAGGAGAAGAACCAGUACAUCCUGACAGCUGACACACUUACUCGAUCACAGAGGCCAAGAAGCAGCCCAGAUCAUUCUGUCAACCAACCUACUCGACCACCACCUCGACCCUCUGAUCAAUCCGCACUCAACCAGAUAACCUGAGCAUCGGAAAGAGAAGAGAAGAGAAGAGAAGGCCCAUUCGAAACCCAUUCAAAGCCCAUCAGGAAGCCCACUUUGAGCCGACACUCUUGAUCACGCCGUCCAUGGGCCGUUAAGUGGGCUCGAAGCCGAGUUAACAUCUACAGGUCACCAAGUUUACUCGACCAUGGAGGCAUCCCAACUGCCCGUUUUCACUCGAUCACCAAGGCGACACUUUAGACCAUUUCUCAGACCAAUAUACUCGACCGUCGGACCAAACGUCAUGUGAACCCUGCGAUCGAGUAUCAUGCACCAGAGGAGGAGGAACAACAACAAGGUCCCAGUAUUCCAUGGGAUUACACCAGAGAGGAGAUGGCACACACAACCAUCAUUGUAUAUACCAUUUUCUGUUUUCGUUUUGUUUUAGUGUCUCUUGAACUCUUCUUUAGACUUCUAUUACACAAGGGACUGUAUAGUUUAAGUUUGGGGGAGGAUUCAAGAAGUAUUUAACAUGUUUGCUAGUGAGUCUUAUUUGCAUCAUUUGAGUCUUAACUUCAUCUAAGACAUAGAAAAAAAAUAAAAAAAAAAUGAAAACAUUUCUGAAAAUGUAUUCCACAAAAACAGAGUGUUCAUAUAGUUGCAUCACAUUUAGGAUUGAGUCUAGGAUGUUUCAUAUAGGAUUGUCGCAUAUGCAUUGGGGAUUAUGAUGAGAUAGCCUUGUAAGCAUUUUUGUUCAUCGUUUCUAGUUGUCUGAUGUGUAGUCAAUGAAAUUGAAGUAAAACUGCACCAUGUCUUGAAUGCUCUACUCGAUCACACUGUUAUUAUCUGAUACCAUUCCCUAUCAAUUUGAACCUGAAUCUGACUUGCAAUUAUCAUGUCUUAGCAUCGAAUUUGAACUCAUGGAUACCAUAUACAUACUUGGGUUUUCUUUAAACUUUUCACCACCCUUGCUAACCCAAGUAGCUGCUUCCAUCAUUGAAGUAGUUUCCCUUGCCCUUAACCAAACCUUUCUUUCGAGCCCUGUUAUAUAUCGUGUGCGAUUGUGAGGCCUGUUUCAGGAUUGAGCUUGGAAGAAAGUGUUAGGUUUGAGCCGACAAGAGUAGUGUCUCAUGUAGUUCUAGUCCACGUUUUCUGGGCUAGAUAGGACAAGGUGGGUGUCUAUUCUUGAAGUGGGGAUCGAGUAUAUGAGAAAAUAAGAGAGAAAGGAAAUGUUGAUGUUCUUAGGAGAAGGAAGUUGAGAAACAAGUUAGUCUAGUAAUGGAUUUUGGGGAACUAAAAAAAAAAUAGGCUCACAACAAAAGAAAAAAAGUCUAGAAAAGUCUUGAUCACAAGAAGAUAACAUGAGCCAUAGUUGUCAAAGAAAACCAAAGUCCACUAGAUCCAACAAAGUAAAAGAAACUUCUCCUUAGAAUAAGAGUCAAAGAAAAGAAAGAGUGGUUUGAUCCAAGAUAAGAAUGAGAAAAAAAUGCCUUGAGUGCAAAGGGUAGAACUAGGAUCAUAUUCUGGGCUUAAGGGUAGUACCAUCUGCUGGUGUAUACACUGUGUAUGUUUUUGGGUAGAUGGGAUACUAUUCUUGUAUGCAUAGGUUGGCUCUUACCUUUAGCAUUCUCCUAAAGCUCAGUCCAUUUCUUUUCAGAGUCCCCUGUUACUAAACUUGAACCACCAGAAAGGGACCAUCUGUGUCUCUUGACCUUCACCUUAGCCAAAUGAGUUCAUUGAUGAUGCAUAGCUUGAUUCACGUUCCUAAUCUAAUGAAUGUUAAAGGGAUUGGUAGAUUUGAAAGCAUGUGUAGGUCGAGUAUAAGAGUGGGAUUGAACUAUAAUAAGGCAUGGCUAACGUUUUUGAGUAGAGUUCGAUAAUAUGGCAUCCUAGAACUGCCAACUUGGACAUUGAUUCUAUCUGAUUUAUUUGAUGCUUUGGUUCUGAAUCCCCACCUUCAAACCUCUCCUUCAGCUUAUGUCUACUUGUUUGCUUGAGGGCAAGCAAAGACUAAGUUUGGAGGAGUUGAUAUGUGUAUAAUUUGCAUGUUUUACACAUCCUUUAAUCACCAUUUUGAGUCUAGUUUCAUCCAUCUUUCAUAGCAUUCACCAUCAUUUUCGUACAUUUUGCAUCUUUAGUCGAGUCUAGGACUAAUCUUGCAUACAUUCUACAUUCUGGAGUUGUUUCAGGUGUUUUGGAGCUAUUGGUGCUCAGAAAGAGGGAAAACAGAACAGAAAGUCACACUUCCACCAAACAUACUCGAUCACCAGUAGCUGAGAGGGAAGUAGUCAGCUAAGCAGUCCAUCCAGACACUUCUACUCGAUCAUAGAGGAGACUAGGCAGUCCAUUCUGCCAGAUAUACUCGACCGCAGAGGAGAGGAGGCAAUCCAUUCUACAAUUCUACUCUAUCGCAGAGGCGACCAUGCAGUCCACUUUGCCAGUCCACCAGUUAUACUCGAUCGUAGAGGUGAAGAACCAGUACAUCCUGACUGCUGACACACUUACUCGAUCACAGAGGCCAAGAAGCAGCCCAGAUCAUUCUGUCAACCAACCUACUCGACCACCACCUUGACCCUCUUAUCAAUCCGCACUCAACCAGACAACCUGAGCAUCGAAAAGAGAAGAGAAGAGAAGGCCCAUUCGAAGCCCAUUCGAAACCCAUUCGAAGCCCAUCAAGAAGCCCACUUUGAGCCGACACUCUUGAUCACGCCGUUCAUGGGCCGUUAAGUGGGCUCGAAGCCCGCUUUCUUAUUUUAGUAUAAAUAAGUCUCUAAGGGUUUCGCCCUGGGACAUGCACUUUUAGAGACACGAAUUUUGCACUAUUAUUCAGCAGCCGCUUUUCAUUCCUGCAAUUUUAUAUUUCGAUUUUUCUUCUAAGUCAUUCAGAUUUUGCUUUCAUUUGCUUGUUCAUCUUUCGUUUCUAUGUUAUUGUCUUUAAGCAUGUUGUCAGAGUAGUGACUCAGAAUUCUUAAGGAUGGGUUAGAGUAGUUGUGGAAUCCGUAGUCUGUAGAAUGGUUAAGUCUUAGAAUUGAUUGAAUCCCUUCAGGACUAGUUGUGUUUACUGCUUAUUUCUUUCUAAUCAACUGGAAUUCGAUCCCAAGCAUUCCCGCACCCAGAAGGUGUUCUAUGGAAUGCUUGAUCCACUAGUUCCUGAGAUAUUCGUCUCUAUCCCAAGGGAUUGGCCGUUUAGAGCGUUUAUUGACUUUAUCAGUCUGUUCUUAUUGCCUGCAUAAUUAGAUUCCGUUAAUGGGAAUUAGUCUGGGCUAGCUUUGCUUGAGGAUUUCUAUCAAGGGAGUGAAUUGAUCUGUUGUUGAACCUGUUGUCUAGGGAUACCUUGAUUGCGCUUGUUAACCAUUCGGAUAGGCUAGGAUACCACUCUAUUCGAUUACCCCAUCCUUAGGAAUUUCUCGUCUAUCUGAUUUCUCUGUUUUAUCGUUAUCGCUUAUUCGUUCUCAUUGCCUGUUUCUUCGUUUUUGCAAUUACUCGAUCAACUUACUUGACCACACCCAGUGUCUGGUAACAGACUGUGCAGUCGAGUACAGUUGUCUCAUUUCCUGUCUGUUACUCGACCAGAAUACUCGACCACACCCAGUGUCUGGCAACAGACUAUGCAGUCAAGUAUAUCUGUUUCAUAUCCUGUCUGUUACUCGACCACAUCCUACUUCUGGCAUCAGCCUGUUGUGGUCGAGUGAUUUUAGUAAUUCUAUUAUUGUUUCUGUUUUCUGCAUGUUCGCUUAGGACUGUUAGAAACCCCAAAACUGUUAUUGCUUGGCUUGACUUAGUGACUUUUGAUCACAUCUCAUCUGUUUGCAUCACACCCAUUUGGAUUGACACCUAAAAUACUACAACGACAUGAUUGGUGUUUUAGGAUAAUUGACCAUAAAAAACUACUAUCAGAUAACUCCCAAAGAUUUAAUCUAAUCCUUCUCAAAACUAAAUAACUUAUUUCUUAAGUAAUACUCAAGCUUACUCCAACAAUCUCCCCUUUAAGCUUGAGAUCACUCCUCUUCACUUCUUGAACACCCAUAAGAUCUCUCAUCUCUUUAAACUUCAUUCUCCCAAGUGCUUUAGUUAGGAUGUCUGCCUUUUGCUCAUUCCCCGGAACAUGCUCUACUUCCACUUGUCCAUUUUCGACGCAUUCUCUUAUGAAGUGGUAACGCCUAUGAAUGUGCUUGCUUCAGCCAUGGAAGACCGGAUUCUUGGUAAGGGCGAUUGCUGAUUUGUUGUCGAUUCUUAUGAGCACCUUCUCGCUUGGUUCUCCUAUAACUUCACUAAGCAAGUCUUGAAGCCAAAUUGCUUGCCUAGCUGCUUCUGUUCCUGCCAUAAACUCUGCUUCACAUGAGGACAUUGCCAUUGUUUCUUGUUUCUGUGAACACCACGAGAUGGGACUCUCUCCAAGGUAGGAAAUGUGACCGGCUGUACUCUUGCCAUCAUCAGGAUCAACAUUGUGGUUGCUGUCACUAUAGCCUACUAGCUUUGGUAUCUUUUCACUUGAUCGUUUAAAUACCAAACCGAGUGUAGUCGUACCUUUCAAGUACCUCAAACAUUGUCUCAUUGCAGCACCAUGUGAUUCAUUUGGAUCUUGCAUGUAUCGACUUAACACUCCCACGCAAAAGGACAGAUCCGGUCUUGUAUGAAUUAAAUAGCGAAGGCAACCAACUUUUUUCCUGUAUCCGGUAGCAUCAAUUCCUUCUUCAUGAUGUGAUUUGGACAAUUGCAAACCAGAUUCCAUUGGUAUGUGCAUCAAGUUACAGUCCUUCAUCCCAGCGUCUUCUAAAAUCUUCAUUGCAUAUCGGUGUUGACUUAGUGUGAUUCCUUGCUCUUGUUGACAGACUUCUAUUCCAAGAUAGUACGUCAAUUUUCCAAGAUCACUCAUCUCGAACUUAGAAGCCAUCUCUCUCUUGAAUCCACUAAUACUUCUUUCAUCUGUUCCGGUUAUGAAAAGGUCAUCUACGUACACUACCACAAGAAGAAAAAUAUUCCCACUUACAGUUUUACGAUAUACUGAUGGUUCUUUGGAACACUUCUCGAAUUGUAGUUCUGUAAGAAUCUGAUUCAGCUUAUGGUUCCAUGCUCUCGGUGCUUGUCGUAAUCCAUACAAAGCUUUGUGAAGCCUAUAGACUUUCCCUUCCUAUCCUCUUUCUUCGAAUCCUUCUGGUUGUGUCACAUACACGGUUUCUCUUAGUUCUCCAAGGAGAAAUGCUGUCUUGACAUCAAGAUGGUGUAUCUCCCAACCAUUUGAUGCUGCAAGGUUCACAAGUAGUCGUUUGGUUUCAAGGCGAGCUACGGGAGCGAACACUUCUUCAAAGUCCACUCCAUAGCGCCAAAACGUAACCUUUCGCGACCAAUCGAGCCUUGUAUUUGUUGAUGCUCCCGUCCGAGUUGCGUUUGAGUUUAAAAACCCACUUUAGACCUAUACGUUUAACUCCAUGCGGCAGAUCUUCAAGACUCCAUGUCUUAUUCUUUGUUAUUGAAAACAUCUCUUCUUCACACGCAAGUGUCCACUCUCUGGACUCCUUAGCCUCACUGAAACUGCUCGGUUCGUUAUUCAAUAUUAGAAGUAGCCUUUCUCCUUCUUCUUCUACAAGUAAUGCAUAGUCUUCAAGGUACUUUGGUCUUAUGGUUUGUCUUUGCGAUCUUCUUAGAUUAGGUUGUUGACUUUCUGUUCCAAGAUCAGCAGAGACUUCUUCAUUUUCUGCAAAGGUUUCAUGAUCAUGUUGUUCUUCAUUCACGUGAAUAGGCUGUGUUUGCUCUGUCUCACCAUAUUCGUUGUCUUCUUCUUGUAGACCAUGAUUCCCGAAUUCUCCAAGUGUGACACUGAAGCUUCCAUCUUGUUUAGGUUCGUUGUGAUUCCAAUCCCAUCCUUUUUCUUCAUCGAAUACAACAUCUCUACUCACCACAAUUUUCCGAUUUACUGGGUCAAGUAGACGAUAUGCCUUUGAACCCGGCUCAGUACCUAGAUGAACUAGCUUUCUCGACCUGUCAUCUAGUUUCCUCAAGUGUGGUGUCUCCACUUCUGCGUAUCCAAUGCAGCCAAAUACUGUGAGAUGAUUCACGUUUGGUUUCUUUUGGUAGAAAGCUUCAUAUGGAGUGUUGUCAUUCAACGAUCUUGUAGCUAUCCGGUUCAGCAGGUAGGUGGCGUGUCAUACUGUUUCUCCCCAUAAGUAACUAGGUAUAUGCAUGUGUUUCAUGACACUCCUUGUCAUUUCCAUUAGAGUUCUGUUUCUUCUUUCAAAUACACCAUUCUGUUGUGGUGUAUAUGGAGCAGUAAGAUGUCUUUUAAUACCCGAUUCUUCACAAAACUUAGUGAACUCAUGUGAUACAAACUCUCCUCCUCUGUCUAUUCUGAAAGUCUGAAUUUUGCUUCCAGAUUCUUGUUCAACUAAGACCUUGAAGCGCUUGAAUUUAUUGAGAGCAUCACUUUUCUCCUUAAGUAGAGUUGUCCACAUGUAUCUAGAAUGAUCAUCAAUAAUGACAAAGAUGUACCUGUUUCCUGCAGCUGUGCUUGGUGUUAUAGGACCACAUAAGUCUCCAUGAACGAGUUCAAGUAUCUUGGUGGCUCUGUAUGAGGUUGCUUGCGGGAAAAAUUGCCUUGAUUGCUUCCCAAACAAACAUGAAUCACAAACUUCUUUUUCGAUCUUAACGUGUGGGAUCCCUCUUACUAGCUCCUUUUGUAUCAUUGACUUGAUUGUGUCGAGAUUUAUGUGUCCCAAUCUUGAAUGCCAUCUACUUGAUUCGCUGAGGUUUGUUAGAUAUAGACACAUUGUUCCUCUUUUUGCCAUCCGAACCUUAUUAAGUCGAUUCUUUGAUCUUGUUGCUUUGACAAGUAAUUUUCCCUCUCGGUCAUGCAUUGUUAGAAUGUCAUCCUUCAUUCUUAUGUCACAGCCUGAUUCUCUAGCUUGUCCCAAGCUAAUGAUGUUGCUUUUUAAAUCUGGAAUGAAAUAGACAUCUGACAUUUUUCUUUGUUCGCCAUUCCUGUCAAAAAACGAGAUCGUUCCUUUCCCUUUGAUAUCAAUCCGUGAAUCAUCGCCAAAGCGUACUUUCCCGGUGAUAGAAUUAUCUAUACUAGUGAAGUAUCUUUGAUCUCCUGUCAUGUGGUUACUUGCUCCGUUAUCGAGAUACCAAACAUCAUUCUCUCCAUUGUUAGUUUCAUAGUUGCUUGGAAUACAAUUCUUCUCAUUUAGAUACACAACUUCGUGAACCAUGAGUUCAUCUGCAGUUUGUGUAUCGUCUUUCUCGUUCUCUUGGGCUUCCUGCAACUUGAAAAGACGAUUCGGGCAGUCAGAGGCGUAGUGACCUAAUUUGUCACAUCUAUAGCAAGUUACUUUGGAUGUAUCUCUUCCACCAUUCGACCUUCCUUGUCCUCUUCCUCUGUAAUAAGAGCGUCCUCCUCGACCUCUUCCUCUGUAGCAGUUGUUGUACUCUUGAUUUGUUUGGUAAUCUUGAUUAGUAUACAACAACUUGCUUUGAUCUUCUUGUGGUUCUUCAUCAUCUACCACUCGUUCUUCAUAUACUUUCAUUCGUCCUACAAUGUCUUCAAAUCCGUUUGUGUUAAGAUCAAGAACUUGUUCGAGUGAUGCAACUAUGUGAAUGAAUUUCUUUCGAGGCAGACUUGAGAGAAACUUCUUCACUAGUUUUGGUUCUUCGAUUUGAACUCCUAAAGCUGCAGAUUUGGAUGCAAUUUCUGCUAACUUUCCUACAAAAUCAUCAAUCUUCUCAAUAUCCUUCAUCUUCAAGCGAUCAAAGUCAUUCAUUAGAGUCUGUAGUCUCGCUUCUCUAACUCGUUCUGCUCCCACGUUCCUCGACCGAAUAGCUUCCCAAACCUUCUUUGCUACUUUAAAUUCUCCAAUUUGCAAAGCUAGGGAUUCGGGUAUGGAUUGAAUCAUUAAAGCUAUAGCCAUGAUGUUCUUGUCUGCAUCAACGGGUUCUGUUGACUCUGUUUCAAUAGCUUCCCAGACUUUGUGUACUUGAAGAGCAAUCUCCAUCUUCAUAGCCCAUGCCGUGUAAUUUGUUUGAGUUAGCAUAGGGCAUUGGAUCGAAGAAGUUCCUCCUCCUUCUUUUGGUUUCGUUCCCGACGUAACUAUUUUGCUCAUAUCUUCUCCUUACAAAUUCUUCUUUAUGGUCUCAAGAUUUGUAAGCUCUGAUACCAAUUGUAGUUUAGAGAUGUGUUUAAGAACUCAAAGUAAAGAAUAACUCUCUUUAAUCUCUUUAGGAAAAUUACUCAAAACCUAAAGCUAUUGAUCUCUUCACAAUCUCUAAAAAACGAUAAGGUUAACCACAACUUUGGUAACUCUUAUAUAGAGAUCAAUAGAUAAUUCUAGAAUAAACAUUUAGAUUAAUAUUAGAUAACUCCUAAUAAUAUCUUUAGAUAACUCCCAAAGAUUUAAUCUAAUCCUUCUCAAAACUAAAUAACUUAUUUCUUAAGUAAUACUCAAGCUUACUCCAACAGAUACAAAGCCAGACAUUCAUACGGACUUUGGUUACACCAUUAAAGCUUUGAGAGGCAAGAAGAAGCUUGGUUAGUUUUGGAGUCAAAUAUGCCUAGAUGGCAUGUGUAUGAUUGAGUACAAGAACUCGAACCGCAACUGGAUCUUGAAAGCCCAAGUAGUGUUUCUUUGUUAGAAGAUACAACGCCAAUGACUCAUACGGACUUCGGCUACACCAUCAAAGCUUUGAAAAAUCUUGGUUUAUGUUUUGGAGUUAAAUAUAAAUUGAUGUCCUGUCUGUGGUUGAAUAUUAGAACUUGAACCGCAAACGGAUCUGAAAAGGAAAAGUAGUGUUUCCAUGCUAGAAGAUACAAAGCCAAAGACUCAUACGAACUUCGACAUCCCCAUCAAAGCCUUAGGAAGCCAAAAGAAGCUUAGUUAGUUUUUUGGAGUCCAAUAUGACUAGAUUGCAUGUGUAUGAUUGAGUAUAAAAACUCAAACCGUAACCAGAUCUUGAAAGCCCAAGUAGUGUUUCUUUGUUAGAAGAUACAAAGCCAAAUACUCAUACGGACUUCGGCUACACCAUCAAGAAGCAAGAUGAAGCUUGGUUAGUGUUUUGGAGUCAAAUAUGAAUUGAUGUCCUGUGUAUGAUUUAGUAUAAGAACUAGAUUGGCAACCGGAUAUUGAAAGCCCAAAUAGUGUUUUCUUGUUAGAACAGACAAAGCUAAUGACUCAUACGGACUUCGGCUUCACUAUCAAAGCUUUGAGAAACAAGAAGGGGCUUAGUUAGUGUUUUAGAGUCAAAUAUGACUUGAUGUAAUCUGUAUGAUUGAGUAUAAGAACUAGAACCACAACCGGAUCUUAAAAGUCUAAGUAGUGUUUCCUUGUUAGAAGAUACAAACCAAAGACUCAUACAGAUUUUCGAUUACACCAUUAAAACUUUGAGAAGCAAGAAGAAUCUUGGUUAGUGUUUUGGAGUCAAAUAUGACCAGACGACAUUUGUAUGAUUUAGUAUAAGAACUCGAACUACAACCUAAUCCCGAAAGCCCAAAUAGUGUUUCCUUGUUAGAACAUACAAAGCCAAUGACUAAUACAGAUUUUGAUUACACCAUUAAAACUUUGAGAAGCAAGAAGAAUCUUGGUUAGUGUUUUGGAGUCAAAUAUGACAAGAUGGCAUGUCUAUGAUUUAGUAUAAAAACUCGAACUACAACCAGAUCUUGAAAGCCCAAGUAGUGUUUCCUUGUUAGAAGAUACAAAGCCAAAUUCUCAUACGGACUUUGGUUAAACCAUCAAAGCUUUGAGAAGCAAGAAGAAGCUUGGUUAGUGUUUUGGAUCAAAUAUCACUUGAUGUCAUGUGUAUGGUUAAGUAUUUGGACUAGAUCUUGAAACUUAUCCCAAAAGCAAAAGUAGUGUUUCCAUGCUAGAAGAUACAAAACAAAAGAUUCAUACGGACUUUGACAUCACCAUCAAAGCCUUAGGAAGCAUGAAGAAGCUUGGUUAUUGUUUUGGAGUCAAAUAUGACUAGAUGACAUGUGUAUGAUUGAGUAUAAAUACUCAAACCGCAAUCGGAUCUUGAAUGCCCAAGUAGUGUUUCCUUGUUAGAAGAUACAAAUCCAAAGACUCAUAUGGACUUCGGCUACACCAUCAAAACUUUGAGAAUCAAGAAGAAGUUCUGUUAGUGUUUUGGAGUCAAAUAUGACUGGAUGUCAUGUUUAUGAUGGCGUGUAAAACUAGAACCACAACGCGAUAUUAAAAGCCUAAGUAGUGUUUCGAUGUUAGAAGAUACAAAGCCAAUGACUCAAACGAACUUCAGCUAGACCAUCAAAGCUUUGAGAAGCAAGAAGAAGCUUAGUUAGUGUUUCUGAGUUAAAUAUGACUUAAUGUAAUAUGUAUAAUUGAGAAUAAGAACUAGAACCACAACUAUAUCUUAAAAGCCUGAGUAGUGUUUGCUUAUUAGAAGAUACAAAGCUAAAGACUCAUGUGGACUUUGGUUACACUAUUAAAGCUUUGAGAAGCAAGAAUAAGCUUGGUUAGUGUUUUGGAGUAAAAUAUGACUACAGGUCAUGUGUAUGAUUGAGUAUAAAAACUCGAACCGCAACCUCAUCUUGAAAGCCCAAGUUGUAUUUCCUUGUUGGAAGAUACAAAGCCAUAGAGUCUUACGGACUUCGGCUACACCAUAAAGACCUUGAGAAGCAUGAAUAAGCUUGGUUAGUGUUUUGGAGUCAAAUAUGACUUGAUGUGAUGUGUAUGAUGGAGUAUAAGUACAAGAACCACAACCUGAUCUUAAAAAUCUAAGUAGUGUUUCGUUGUUUGAAGAUAUAAACCCAAAGACUCAUACGGACUUCGACAUCACCAUCAAAGUUUUAGGAAGCAUGAAGAAGCUUGGUUAGUGUUUUGGAGUCAAAUAUGACUAGAUGGCAUGUGUAUGAUUGAAUAUAAAAACUAAAACCGCAAUCGGAUCUUGAAAGCCCAAGUAGUGUUUCCUUAUUAGAAGAUACAAAGCCAAAUACUCAUACAGACUUCGGCUACACCAUCGAGAAGCAAGAAGAAGCUUGAUUAGUGUUUUGGAGUCAAAUAUUAAUUGAUGUCCUGUGUAUGAUUGAGUAUAAGAACUAGAUUGGCAACCGGAUCUUGAAAGCCCAAAUAGUGUUUCCUUGUUAGAAGAUACAAAGCCAAUGACUCAUACGGACUUCAGCUACACUAUCAAAGCUUUCAGAAGCAAGAAGAGGCUUAGUUAGUGUUUUAGAGUCAAAUAUGACUUGAUGUCAUGUGUAUGAUUGCGUAUAAGAACUAUGAUAAUAGGUUCUUACUCAAUUAAUCCUAAAACACUAAUCUUGUCGUUGUAGUAUUUUAGGUGUCAAUCCAAAUGGGUGUGAUGCAGACAUAUGAGAUAUAAUCAGAAGUUUCUAAGUCAUGCCAAGCACAAUUUGGUUGGUUUUCUAACAGUCCUAGUGUUGAUGCAGUAAACAGUAAAAAGUCGCAGAAAUGACUGAUAUACUCGAUUGCAGGGUCGACUCCCAGAAAGGACCCUGUGAUCGAGUACAAUAGAAUGACAGAGAGUAAAAAUGCAGAAAUGGACCAGUUUACUCUAUCACACAGUCUCACUGUCAGUAGCAGGGUGUGAUCGAGUAGGAUGGUUGAAAACACGAAAAUACUAAAAUUCAAUAGCAAGUGAAUGAAGUAGGUAAGUAAACAAAGAAAUCAAUUGGAUGAGAAACUCAUAAGGAUGGGGUAAUCGAAUAGUGUGGUCUCCCUAAUCAAUUCAGUUGGUUAACAAAUCUCAAUUAAGCUAUCCCUAGACAACAGGUUCAACAACAGAUUAAUACACUCCCGUGAUAUAAAUUCUCAAGCAUAGCUAGACACUGACCUAAUUCCCAUUAGCGAUCUCUAACUAAGCAGGCAAUAAGAACCGACUGUUAAAGCCAAUAACCGCUCUAAACGGCCAAUCCCUUGGGAUAGAGACGAUUAUCACUGGAAUUAGUAGAUGCAACGUUCUAUAAAACGCCUUCUAAGCGCUGGAACGUCUGGGAUCGGAUUCCAGUUGAUCAUAAAGGAAUAAACAGUAAACACAACUAAUCCAGAAGGGAUUCAAUAAAUCUACACUUAACCAACAGAUUCGACCAGGGGUUCCACAGCUACCCUAUCCCAUCCUUAGAAACUCUAAUCACUACUCAGACAACAUGCUUAAAGACAACAACAUAGAAACGAUUGAAUAUUGCAUACUAAAAAUAUUAAAGGGAAUGAAACAAAGAUGAACAAGCAAAUGAAAUCAAAAUCUGAAUAACUUAGAAGAAAAAUCGAAAUACAAAGUUGCAGGAAUGAAAAGUGGCUGCUGAAUACUAGUGCAAAAUUCGUGUCUCUCAAAGUGUAUGUCUCAAGGCGAAACCCUUUGAGACUUAUUUAUACUAAGAUAAGAAAGCGGGUUUCGAGCCCACUUAACGGCCCAUGGACGAUGUGAUCAAGAGUGUCGACUCAAAGUGGGCUUCCUGAUGGACUUCGAAUGGGCUUCGAAUGGGCCUUCUCUUCUCUUCUCUUUCCGUUGCUCAGGUUGUCUGGUUGAGUGCGGAUUGAUCAAAGGGUCGAGGUGGUGGUUGAGUAGGUUGGUUGACAGAAUGGUCUGGGCUGCUUCUUGGCCUCUGUGACCGAGUAUGUGUGUUAGCUGUCAGGAUGGAUUGGUUCUUCUCCUCUGCGAUCGAGUAGAAUUGGUGGACUGGCAAAGUGGACUGCAUGGUCGCCUCUGCGAUUGAGUAGAAUUUUCAGGAUGGACUCCUUCAACUCUGUGAUCGAGUAGAACUGCAGUUGGGAUUGACUCCUCUCCUCUGCGAUCGAGUAUAAGUGUCUGGAUGGACUGUUGAGCUAACUGCUUCCCUCUCUCCUACUGGUGAUUGAGUAUGUUGGUGGAAAUGUGACUUUCUGUUCUGUUUUUCCUCUUUCUGAGCACCAAUAGACGCAAGACUAGUCCUAGACUCGACUAAAGACGCAAAAUGUACAAGAAUGAUGAUGAAUGCUAUGAAAGAUGGAUGAAACUAGACUCAAAGUGGUGAAAACAGGAUGUGUAAAACAUGCAAAUUAUAGACAUAUCAACUCCCCCAAACUUAGUCUUUGCUUGCCCUCAAGCAAACAAGUAGACAUAAGCUGAAGGAGAGGUUUGAAGGUGGGGAUCCAGAACCAAAUCAUCAAAUAAAUCAGAUAAAAUCAAUGUCCAAAAUGACAGUUCUAGGAUACGAUAUGAUGGAAUUCUACUCAAAAACGUUAGCCAUGCCUUAUUAUAGUUAAAUCUCACUCUUAUACUCGACCUACACAUGAUUUCAAAUCUACCAAUCCCUUUAACAUUCAUUAGUUUAGGAACGUGAAUCAGGCAAUGCACCAUCAAUGAACUCAUUUGGCUAAGGUGAAGGUCAGGAGACAAAGAUGAUCCCUUUCUGGUUGUUCAAGUUUAGUAACAGGGGACUCUCAAAAGAAAUGGACUGAGGUUUUGGAGAAUGCUAAAGGUAAGAGCCAACCUAUGCAUACAAAAAUAGUAUCCCAUCUACCCAAUAACAUAGACAGUGUAUACACCAGCAGAUGGUACUACCAUCAAGCCCAAAAUAUGAUCCUAGUUCUACCCUUUGCACUCAAGGUAUUUUUUUUUCUCAUUCUUAUCUUGGAUCAAACCACUCUUUCUUUUCUUUGACUCUUAUUCUAAGGAGAAGUUUCUUUUACUUUGAUGGAUCUAGUGGACUUUUGGUUUUCUUUGACAACUCUGACUCUUGUCCUAACACUUUCUUCCAAGCUCAAUCCUGAAACAGGCCUCACAAUCGUGAUCUUUACUAUAUUACGGUGAGAAAAUUAUAGGUUCGGACAUUGUUUUCAAAUAUUUUGCAUGUAUCAAAGCUCUUAUAAACAAGAUAGGAUAUUCCUACAUAGCUGGUGGGACCCCAACAAAUGGAUCAUGAAGUCUUCAAAAAAGAAUAGAUACGAUUGCAUUGCAUGUAGUAACAGAUGCGAUCAUACCAGCACUAAUGCACCAGAUACCAUCAGAAAUCCGCAGUUAAGCGUGCUUGGGCGAGAGUAGUACUACGACGUGUGACCUCCAGGAAAGUCCUUGUGUUGCAUAACUCUUUUGUUUUCGAUUUUUCUCAUAUUUUUUGUUAAAAAUGUAUUACUCUAUAACUUUUAGACCGUGAGGCCAAACUUGGCAUGUGAUACCUUUUCGGAAAGCCGAAAGAGUGCUCUCAAACGAAUGAGGAAUGGGUUGUUUUUCUACUCCAAAUUUUGACCUAAAUGUACUUUUUAUGGCCUUUUCUUGAUCUUUGCUAUAUUACGGGACAAAAAUUAUAUGUUCGGACAUUGUUUUUGAAUAUUUUGCAUGUAUCAAAGCUCUUAUAAACAAGAUAGGGUAUUCCUACAUAUCUGGUGGGACCUGAUAAUAUGUUUUUAGUCAAUUAUUCUAAAACACCAAGCAUGUCGUUGUAGUAUUUUAGGUGUCAAUCCAAAUGAGUGUGAUGCAAACAGAUGAGAUGUGAUCAGAAGUUACUAAGUCAAGCCAAGCAAUAACAGUUUUGGGGUUUCUACAGUCCUAAGUGAACAUGCAGAAAACAGAAACAAUAACAAAAUUACUAAAAUCACUCGACCACAACAGGCUGAUGCCAGAAGUAGGAUGUGGUCGAGUAACAGGUAGGAUAUGAAACAGAUAUACUCAACUGCACAGUCUGUUGCCAGACACUGGGUGUGGUCGAGUAUACUGGUCGAGUAACAGACAGGAAAUGAGACAACUGUACUCGACUGCACAGUCUGUUGCCAGACACUGGGUGUGGUCGAGUAAGUUGGUCGAGUAAUUGUAAAAACUAAGAAACAGGCAAUGAGAACGAUUAAGCGAUAACGAUAAAACAGAGAAAUAGUAUAGACGAGAAAUUCCUAAGGAUGGGGUAAUCGAGUAGAGUGGUAUCCUGAUAGGUUACGGGUGACGUUGGCUGGUGUGAGAAGAAGGGCGAGAUCAAAUGGAAGGAAAGGCAGAGCUCGUGAGAAGUUCCUGAGGAAGCUUCUAUUUAAAAGUGGCUAAGGCACAAAAAGACAGCUCGCCAGCUCGGCACAGAAAGACAGCUCGCCAGCUCGCCAACUGUGUCGUUUUACUUUUGGGUUAUCGAAAUGCUGCGUUUUGUAUUGAGUCUCAGUAGAUGCUAUUUAAGGAACCUUCCCUUUUAGGGUUUUGUUAUCAAAAUAAACAAUCAACAACAUUAAUCUUGAAAUUCUCUCUCUCAUCUACACUCUCCGCCGUUCAAGGUGCAUUUCCUAUUGUCUUGUUAUUUUAUCAGUCUUAGUCUUUUUCUUGUCUUCGAUAGGGUCAGACCUUAUCAUUGGUGCUUCUUCAUUGGAGAGACCGAUGGCUCCACCGUUACCUAAAGCCACCGCAUCUGAUACCGCCGUCGAGUCACCUGAACUCGGCUCGACAACAACACCACCACCUGAGGAACCUCCGCCAGCUCCACAUUUGGACACACGAGUAGACAAAGUGGAGAAAGAGAUGACUUAUGUCAGAGAGGCUCUAACCCAGAUCCUUAGAAAUCAGAUCUUUGGGGUUACGCGUGAGGGAAGUGCAGCUCCGAUAGGGUUCUCCACUCCGACACCGGCACUGCCUUUACAAGCUUCAUACCCACAACAUCUGGAAGGACCGAAUAGAGGAGUCCGUUUUUCUUCUCCAGCUCCGGCGUUACCAGUCUACACCUCUCAUCCUCAACACUUGGAGGUACAGAACAGAGAGACUCUGUUUUCCGGCACAAAUCAACGGGACACACACCCUCGGCCCUUACUCUUUGACCAGUCGCGAUACCAGGCGUCGACUUCAGAGAUACCUCGACUUCCAGCUUCACCCUUCGAACCGCGUCGCUUUCACUCGUCACCAUUAGAACCACCAGGGUUUCAGCUGAAUGCCUCCACGGGUCUUCCAUCAUCUUCAGGUUUUCCAUCUAAUCCUUCCACGGGGUUUCAGACUACUCCAACCUUCCAAACACAAACGUUUCCGCCUCAAUCUGCGCCACAUCAACCUCGGUUUGAAGCAGCCCCGCGUAGGACUGUGGAUUAUCCGGCUUAUGAAGGAGGCAAUGCCGACGAUUGGUUGUUCCGGCUAGAACAGUGCUUCUUAUCCAAUCGCACCCUAGAGGAAGAAAAACUGGAAAAGGCUGUGUCUUGUUUAACAGGAGCAUCAGUUACAUGGUGGCGCUGCUCUAAGGACAGAGAACAAAUCUAUACCUGGAGGGAAUUUCAAGAAAAGUUCAUGUUACGUUUUCGACCAAGCAGAGGCAGUUCUGCUGUGGAUCAUCUCCUCAACGUGAGACAAACAGGAACCGUGGAGGAAUACAGAGAACGUUUUGAAGAGCUCACAGUCGACUUACCCCAUGUCACAUCUGACAUAUUGGAAUCUGCAUUCCUCAAUGGACUGAGAAGAAGUCUUCGAGACCAGGUAGUUCGCUGUAGGCCAGUGAAUCUUGCAGAUAUUGUUGAGAUAGCUAAACUCAUUGAGUCACAAGAGCGGAAUGCUGUUAGUUACCAAGUGCGAAAUCAAGCUAGAACCAACACAGCUCCAUUCAACAAUCAGGUCUCCACAGGAUCUAGAGUGGUAGACCGUGCUCCAACGAGACAACCCUUCAUUCCUAGUAGGGAUACAACUCGUGCUUCAGGCAGUGGGGAAGCCAGGAACUCAAACCCGUGCCGCUACUGUGGAGAUAGAUGGUUUCAAGGCCAUAAAUGCAAACCACAAAAGCUCAAGGGUCUAGCCAUAACAGAAGAGGUUGAAGAGGAGAGUCCUCUAAUUGAAGAGUUGAAUGAACCACUGACAGAAGAAGAAGGGGAUCCAGAACCUGCAGAAGGUUUCAAGGUAAUGACACUCAGCUCCUUGAAUGAUGAGUCUCAAGAGCAGUCAAUGAAAAUGAGGGGAUACAUUGGCAACACCAAAGUGGUGUUAUUGGUUGAUUCAGGAGCAACUUGCAACUUCAUUAGUGAGGCUUUGGUAAGAGAGAAAGGAUGGUUAGUGACUCAAACUCGCAGUUUUGGAGUUAAAGUUGGUGGAGGCAGAAUCAUCAAAAGUAGUGGGAAGUGUGUCGAUAUACCACUAGAGGUCCAAGGAAUUGAGUUUGUACAAGACUACUACUUAUUUGACUUGGGAGAUUUGGAUUUGGUUCUGGGAUUUUCUUGGUUGGCAGGACUAGGAGAAACAAGAGCCAACUGGAGAGAUUUGAGGAUCAGUUGGCAGAUAGGUCGCACAUGGGUAUCCUUAUACGGCGACCCGGAUCUAUGUAGAGGACAAAUUUCGAUGAGGUCUAUGGAAAGAGUUAUCAAAUACACUGGAACUGCAUAUCUCUUGGAACUAGCAUCUUUGUUUGAAAGCAAGAAACAGGAAGAGCAAACAGCCUUGCAGCCUGCAAUCCAGAGGCUUUUGGAUCAGUACCAAGGGGUUUUUCAAACUCCACAGCUAUUGCCACCAGUUCGCAACAGAGAACACGCCAUUACCUUACAAGAAGGGUCUUCACCAGUCAAUAUCCGACCAUACAGGUAUUCUUUUGCUCAAAAGAAUGAGAUAGAGAAGCUUGUGCGUGAAAUGUUGAAUGCUCAGAUUAUAAGACCUAGCGUGAGUCCAUAUUCAAGUCCAGUUCUCCUAGUGAAAAAGAAAGAUGGAGGAUGGCGCUUCUGCGUUGAUUAUCGAGCAUUGAAUGAAGCUACAAUACCCGAUAAGUAUCCGAUUCCUGUUAUAGAAGAGCUAUUGGAUGAACUGAAAGGAGCCACAGUGUUUUCAAAGUUGGAUCUUAAAUCAGGCUAUUUCCAGAUAAGGAUGAAACUGAGUGAUGUGGAGAAGACUGCCUUCAAGACACAUGAGGGCCAUUAUGAAUUUCUGGUAAUGCCAUUUGGCUUGACCAACGCCCCCUCCACCUUUCAAAGCGUCAUGAAUGACCUAUUCAGGCCAUACUUGCGAAAGUUCGUCUUGGUUUUCUUCGAUGAUAUACUAGUUUAUAGUCCUGAUAUGAAGACACAUUUGAAGCAUUUGGAAACCGUCUUACAGCUACUGCAUCUUCAUCAGUUCUAUGCCAAUUUUAAAAAGUGCACAUUUGGAAGCACUAGGAUCUCAUAUUUGGGACACAUUAUCUCUGAGCAAGGAGUCGCAACAGAUCCAGAAAAGGUGGAAGCAAUGCUCCAGUGGCCUUUACCUAAAUCUGUGACUGAGUUAAGAGGCUUCCUAGGAUUCACUGGCUACUAUCGCCGAUUUGUCAAGAAUUACGGCCAAAUCGCCAGACCACUCAGAGAUCAGUUAAAAAAGAACAGUUUUGAUUGGAAUGAGGCAGCUACUUCUGCAUUUCAGGCUCUCAAAGCAGCUGUUUCAGCACUACCUGUGCUAGUGUUACCAGAUUUCCAGCAGGAGUUUACUGUGGAAACGGAUGCAUCAGGGAUGGGGAUUGGAGCAGUACUGUCACAGAAUAAGAGGCUUAUUGCAUUUCUCAGCCAAGCCUUCUCCAGUCAAGGCAGAAUAAGGUCAGUUUAUGAACGUGAACUGUUAGCCAUAGUGAAAGCUGUCACAAAGUGGAAGCAUUACCUAUCAAGUAAAGAAUUCAUUAUCAAGACAGAUCAACGCAGCCUCAGACAUUUGUUGGAACAGAAGUCGGUGUCCACAAUACAGCAGAGAUGGGCGUCUAAGUUGAGUGGACUGAAGUAUAGGAUCGAAUAUAAACCAGGAGUUGACAAUAAGGUAGCUGAUGCACUCUCAAGGAGACCUCCAACUGAGGCUCUCUCACAGCUCACUAUAACUGGUCCUCCUACUAUCGACUUGACUGCACUAAAGGCAGAAAUUCAGCAGGAUCAUGAGUUGAGCCAGAUACUUAAGAACUGGGCACAAGGGGACCACCAUGAUUCUGACUUCACUGUGGCAGAUGGCUUGAUUUACAGAAAAGGCUGUUUGGUAAUUCCUGUAGGAUCUCCCUUCAUUCCAAAGAUGCUAGAGAAGUUCCACACCAGUCCUAUUGGAGGUCAUGAAGGUGCCCUUAAGACAUUCAAACGACUCACAAGUGAAGUAUACUGGAGAGGGUUGCGGAAAGACGUGGUUAACUACAUCAAGGGAUGCCAAAUCUGUCAAGAGAAUAAAUACUCUACCCUCUCUCCAGCCGGUUUACUAUCACCUCUCCCUAUUCCACAACAGAUUUGGAGUGAUGUCAGCUUGGACUUUGUAGAAGGGUUGCCAAGCUCUAACAGGUUUAACUGUAUAUUGGUAGUGGUGGAUAGAUUAAGUAAGUAUAGUCAUUUCAUUCCACUUAAACAUCCAUUCACUGCCAAGACUGUAGUUGAGGCCUUCAUAAGAGAUGUAGUCAAGCUACAUGGCUUCCCAAACACACUGGUUUCGGACAGGGACAGGAUUUUCCUGAGCGGAUUCUGGUCUGAGUUGUUUAAGCUGCAGGGCACGGGGCUACAGAAGAGUACAGCCUAUCACCCACAAACUGAUGGGCAGACCGAGGUUGUUAACAGAUGUCUUGAGUCUUAUUUGCGAUGCUUUGCAGGGAGGAGGCCUACAUCGUGGUUUCAGUGGUUACCUUGGGCAGAAUACUGGUACAACACCUCGUACCAUUCAGCCACCAAAACCACUCCCUUUCAAGCAGUCUAUGGUAGAGAACCACCAGUUCUGCUCAGGUAUGGCGAUAUUCCAACCAAUAAUGCGAAUGUAGAGGAGUUACUUAAGGAUAGGGAUGGAAUGCUGGUUGAAUUAAGAGAGAACUUGGAGAUAGCUCAAGCUCAAAUGAAAAAGGCUGCUGAUAAAAGUCGACGUGAUGUAGCGUUUGAAAUUGAUGAAUGGGUUUACUUGAAGCUGCGUCCUUAUAGGCAAAGUUCUGUGGCUCAUAGGAAGAAUGAAAAGCUGUCCCAGCGCUACUUCGGUCCAUUUAAAGUGCUGCACCGCAUAGGUCAGGUCGCUUACAAGCUCCAACUACCCGAACACAGCACAAUUCACCCGGUGUUCCAUGUCUCUCAACUGAAAAGGGCUGUACCUCCGUCAUUCACCCCGCAGGAACUUCCCAAGAUACUAUCACCCACACUGGAAUGGAACACAGGACCUGAGAAGCUGCUAGAUAUCCGACAGAGCAACACAAAUUCAGGACCAGAGGUGCUGGUACAGUGGUCUGGAUUAUCAACCUUGGAAUCAACUUGGGAGCCGCUCCUCACUUUGGUGCAGCAGUACCCGGACUUCGACCUUGAGGACAAGGUCAGUCUUCUGCGCGGGAGCAUUGAUAGGUUACAGGUGACGUUGGCUGGUGUGAGAAGAAGGGCGAAAUCAAAUGGAAGGAAAGGCAGAGCUCGUGAGAAGUUCCUGAGGAAGCUUCUAUUUAAAAGUGGCUAAGGCACAGAAAGACAGCUCGCCAGCUCGGCACAGAAAGACAGCUCGCCAACUGUGUCGUUUUACUUUUGGGUUAUCGAAAUGCUGCGUUUUGUAUUGAGUCUCAGUAGAUGCUAUUUAAGGAACCUUCCCUUUUAGGGUUUUGUUAUCAAAAUAAACAAUCAACAACAUUAAUCUUGAAAUUCUCUCUCUCAUCUACACUCUCCGCCGUUCAAGGUGCAUUUCCUAUUAUCUUGUUAUUUUAUCACUCUUAGUCUUUUUCUUGUCUUCGAUAGGGUCAGACCUUAUCAUAUCCUAGCAUAUUCGAAUGGUUAACAAGCGCAAUCAAGCUAUCCCUAGACAAUAGGUUCAACAACAAAUCAAUUCACUUCUGUGAUAGAAAUCCUCAAGCAAAGCUAGCCCAGACUAAUUCCCAUUAACGCAAUCUAACUAUGCAGGCAAUAAGAACAGACUGAUAAAGUCAAUAAACGCUCUAAACGCCCAAUCCCUUGGGAUAGAGACGAAUAUCUCAGGAACUAGUGGAUCAAGCAUUCCAUCGAACACCUUCUGGGUGCGAGAAUGCUUGGGAUCGAAUUCCAGUUGAUCAGAAAGAAAUAAGCAGUAAACGCAACUAGUCCUGAAGGGAUUCAAUCAAUUCUAAAACUUAACCAUUCUACAGACUACGGAUUCCACAACUACUCUAUCCCAUCCCUAAGAAUUCUAUGUCACUACUCAGACAACAUGCUCAAAGACAUAAACGCAGAUAAAUGAUAAUAUUGCAUAAGUAAAGAGAUAAAGAGUAGAGAAACAGGAUGAUAGAUAAAAUCAAAUGCAGAAUCUGAAUAACUUGGAAAAAUCUCGAAUUAUAGGUUGUAGAAGCAAAAGCGGCGCAGAAGAGUAAAAUAGAAAAUAAAACUGAAACAAAAACUCAAUGUCGACUAGAUGUCUCAGGAAAGAACCCUAAGACAUCUAUUUAUACAAAACAAAAUGAUAGUAGACGGGCCAAUAACCUAAUCGCCCGACCAAUAGAGUGAUAAUGGGCCGAGAUGGGCUUUGUGAUCCGAUGGAGGUCCAGGCCGCUUCCAAACACUUUGUCUUCUCCUCUUCUCUUCCUUGUGCUCAGCUUGUCUGGUUGAGUGCGGAUUUGAGUAGACUGUGAAGACGUGAUCGAGUGUCCGGUCGAGUGAUGGUGAUGGUGGUGAGUGAUGAUACUCGACCAGGGGGUCGACUAACUUGGUAGAGUGAAUGGCCGAGUGUGGUCAGGUGGUGUGGCGAAGUGAUACUCGACCAGGGGGUCGAUGGCGUCAUCGAGUAGCCUGAGCUGAGGAUACUCGACUAGGGGGUCGAGUAGAUGGGAAGAAUGGCUCCAAAGUCACUCGACCAGGGGGUCGAGUAUGGUGCUGGAUGCACACGACCUGGUGGUCGAGUAUGUCUUCUGGUUCUGGCUCGUUUCUUCCAAUUUGCUCGCAAACAGCUCCAAAUCACCUGAAAACAACUUAGAAAUGCAAUAUGUAUGCAAAACUAUCCUAAUCAUGCAAAGUAUGCAAGAAUGAUGAGAAAUGAUAUAAAACAGCGAUGAAUGAUACAAAACUGGACUCAAAACGGUGAUGAAUGGACACUGAAAAGAUGUAAAUUAUAGACAUAUCAGGACCCACAGCAAAUGGAUCAUAAAGUCUUCAAAAAAGAAUAGAUACGAUUGCAUUGCAUGUAGUAACGGAUGCGAUCAUAGCAGCACUAAUGCACCAGAUCCCAUAAGAACUCCGCAGUUAAGUGUGCUUGGGCGAGAGUAGUACUAGGAUGGGUGACCUCCCGGAAAGUCCUCGUGUUUCAUCCCUCUUUUUUUUUUUGGUUUUUCUCUAUUUUUUUUUUUAAAAUGAAUGACUCUAUAACUUUUAGACCGUGAGGCCAAACUUGGCAUGUGAUACCUUUUCAAAAAGCCAAAAGAGAGCUCUCUGGUGAAUGAUGAAGGAAAAUGGAAUUCUUCUAUUGGGUUUUUUUUCUACUCCAAAUUUUGACCUUAAUGUACUCUUUUGGCGUUUUCGCGAUCUUUGCUAUAUUACGGGGCGAAAAUUAUAUGUUCGGACAUUGUUUUUGAAUAUUUUGCAUGUAUCAAAGCUCUUAUAAACAAGAUAGGGUAUUCCUACAUAGCUGGUGGGACCCACGACAAAUGGAUCAUAAAGUCUUCAAGAAGAAAAGAUAUUAUUGCAUUGCAUGUAGUAACGGAUGCGAUCAUACCAUCACUAAUGCACUGGAUCCCAUCAGAACUCC